rnacentral:lncRNA from 1 species
GGUUUAGGAUUUAGGGUUUAGGGUUUGAUUUAGGAUUUAGAGUUUGGUUAGGAUUUCAUCUAGGAUUUAUUUUAGGAUUUGAUUAGGGUUUGAUUUAGGCUUUAGGAUUUGGUUUAGGAUUUGGUUAGAAUUUGGUUUAGGAUUUGGUUUAGGAUUUGGUUUAGGAUUUGGUUUAGGAUUUGAUUUAGGGUUUAGAUUUCGAUUAGGGUUUCAUUUAGGAUUUGGUUUAGGAUUUGGUUGGAGUUUGGUUUAGGAUUUAGAAUUUGGUUAAAGUUUAGUUUAAGAUUUAGAGUUUGGUUAGGAUUUCAUUUAAGAUUUAGGAUUUGGUUUAGGAUUUGAUUUAAGAUUUGUUUAGGAUUUGGUUUAGGAUUUAGGAUUUGGUUAGGAUUUUAUUUAGGAUUUGGAUAGAAUUUGGUUUAGGAUUUGAUUAAGGUUUGAUUUAGGAUUUAGGAUUUGGUUUAGAAUUUAGGGUUUGAUUUAGGAUUUAGGAUUUUAUUAGGAUUUUUUAAGGGUUUAAUAUUAAAUUAGUUUUGGCUUGAAGUUUGAAUGAAGUCCAAUAGGAUUUUAACUAGAAUUAAAUUAAGAUUGAAUUGAGAUGUAUUUAAGUGAUAUUUGUAAUCAUUCUUAUAUUUCUUGAAGAUUUUUUAUUGUUUCUUUAAAAUUUCUUUGAAGUUUCUUUGAAUUUGAUUAAAGCUUGCUUAGCACUAUUAUGAUCUAAUUAGAAUUUAGUUAGUAUUUUAUUAUAGUUAAGAUUUUGUUGUUAUAAUUUCCAUUCUACCUUCCACAGCCACAUGCCCAGAGCAUUCUCAAGCAAGACUUCACGUAUUAUGACAACGUGUUGGUAAUAACAUUUGACAAAUUAUUGGGUGGGAUGAUCCAGUAGAUAGAUUAUUUGUGCAUGCUCAUAUUGCAAGGAGUCAAUAUGAAGCAUUAGUAGAAGAAAAAUGAAAGACAAAUGAAAAUAAUGAAGGGCCUUCAAAAAGAACUACAAGAAGAGAAAAAGCACAACAAAAAAAGAAUCCUAUACAUGAAAGGAUAACAGAGAACAUUUCCACAAAAGAAAGGAAAAUUGAAAAAAAUAAAUAAAGGCUCCUACUUAUAAUUUACAAUCAGAUAUUGAAGCUCCUAUAGAUUUGAAGAAGGUAUUGGAGGAGCAGAUUUUAAGUGAAAAGGUUGAAAUCACAAUUGGUGAAAUUCUAAGAAUUACAAAGCAUGAAUUUCAUUAAGUUAUUAUUGAUACAAUAAAGAAAAAAUAACAAUUUGUAGGAGAGUCUAUGACAUCAAAUGCACAAGGAAUAAGAGCAAUGGAAAGCAAUGAAGAUGAAGAAGAUGAAAUAUAAAACUUUACAGAUGUCUUGCAAGUAAGAUUUGUAAAAAAAAAAGAUUUCAUUUAAGCUUCUAGCUAUUAUUCUAGAAGUCAUUGGACAAGGGCUACUAUGGAAACUUUGAUAAAAUUGAGAAAUUUAGAAGAACCAGUUGUAACAUUGAUUGAUCAUGGUUUUGAAAUCAACUUGAUGUCAAAAGAAUUGUAUAACAAGAGAAAAUGGCCUAUUGAUAUUAAACAUGGGUGGAUGAUAAGAGCAGCAAAUAAUUUAAAAGGAGUUUUGUAUGGAGCAUGUCCAAAUAUCAAGAUGACAAUAGGAGAUGUUAUUUAUGAAUAGAAUUUUUGUGUGCAAGACAUGUCUAUAUAUCCUAUUAUAUUGGGACAAUCAUAUAUUAUUGCUACACGAAUAGAAACAAAAGUAAUAGGUGGUGGUUGAGUCUAUGUAAGAAUAAGAAGCGAAGAUGGGAUGAAAGUAGUUCAAUUUUUAACUAUUUGUGCUAAUCAUGAAAAAAAUCAUGAUAAGUUGAGAGAGAAGCCAUUAUCAAAUGAGAAAUUUGAAGGCCUUGAGGAUUUUUAUUGUACAUCAUUAUAAGGCGGGAUUGCAAUGGAUUAGAGAAAGAAAUGCUUCUGCUUAAUUUAAAAGAAGAAAUAUUAUCUAUCGGACUUAUUGAGAUGACACAAGAUUGUGUAUUGACUUUUAAGACUAUUGAUAAGAUAAAAAGAAUGGAUAAAUAUUAUAUUAAAAAUAUUGAGCAAAAAUUAAAAGAAAAAUGGAAAAUUGGAUGAAAAUGAAUUUAUUUCAAGAGCAUAUGAAGAAGUAGGUUUUGCAGAUACUAUGGGGAAAUUAAAUUAUCUAUUACAAUGUAGAUUACAAGUAAAAAAUAGAGUUAUUAAUGUGUAUUCUAAAGAAUUUUAUGAUGAAAUUCAAGGAUUUAUAAAAAAUUUAAGUCGCCAAGAAGUAUGUGUUGAAACUAAGUAUAAAUCAGUAGCAAGAAAGGUCAAACUAGUGGCUUUGCCACUACCAUCAGAUUGUGAAGAAAAGAUAAGUGGAGCAUCGACACAACCAAAUUUAAGGGAUCCAAAGAAGAUAGGGCAUAAAUUUAUAGAUGUUAUAUUGGAUGGAUUAAAUGUUAGAUGCAAUGGAUUUUUGACAAAAUGUGAAGAAAAAUAUUUUAAAGAUAUACUUUUACGUCAUGGAAAGGCUUUUGCAUUUGAAGCAUAUGAAAUUGGAUGUGUUGAUCCAAGUAUUGUAGCAUCCAUGAUUAUUUUUACUAUUCCUCAUGAACCAUGGAAUUUGCGACCAAUUCCAGUACCAAGAGCACAUUUAUCUAAGUUAGUAGAUUUACUCAAUGAAAAGGUUAAAAUGGGAAUUUUGGAACCAUCUAUGGCACCUUAUUCUAAUCAAUGGUUUACAAUGCUGAAGAAAAAUGGAACAAUGAGAUUUAUACAAGACAUGCAAUCUAUAAAUAAAGUGACUAUUAAAAAUAUGGAUUGAAGUCUAAUUAUUAGAUGAAUUUGUAGAAGCAUUUAUUGGAAGAACUCUCUACUCAAUGGAUGAUCUUUAUUCAGAUUAUGAUCAAUUUCAAUUGGCAAUACAAAGUAGGGAUUUAACAACUAUGAAGACACCAUUAGGAUUGGUUAGAAUGUGCACAUUACUUUAAGAGGCUACAAAUUUUGUAGCACAUAUGAUGAAUGAAAUGCAUAAGAUAUGAAGAGAUUUUAUUCCAAGAAUAAUAAUACUCUUCUUAAAUGAUGUACCAAUUAAGAUGUGAAGAAGAAAGAAAAGAUGAGACUUUGAACUCAAAGUGAUGUAGAAAGUUUGUAGUAGAUCAUAUUGAAGAUUGUGAGAAGUUUUUGAAAAGAUUAAAAGAAGUUCAUUUGAGCUUAUCUGGGACAAAAUCGAUGUUUGGAAUAAAAGAAGUUUUGGUGGUUGGACACAUGUGUGGUUCAUAUGGACAUAAGCCAAGUAUAGAAAAGAUUGAUACUGUGCCCUCACAGCUUUCAGUACACAAUUACCUUUAUUCCAAUCACUAGAAUUCUUUACACAGAACUGCCAUUCAAAUUACGAUGUUUCACACAAACACAGACUCAUUCUCUCUACUAAACUACAAUCAAAUUUCAGCAUUCAAUCUUUCUUCUUCUCAAAUAAUACUAAUCACAUUUUUCUUCCAUAAUUCACUUCACAAUAUUCAAAAUUUUUCAAUCUUCUUAUUCAAAGAAAAUAACAAACAAAAGAAAAGAGGUAGCACCAAGCUUACCCCGGCUUAUACUAUCACAGCGAUGGCACUUUAAUUAACUUCUACAACUCCUAUAUACUUUCCCCUGAUUCUCCAGAUUCUAACCAUAAUUCUAUAAUUAACCACUUUUAAGAAUUAAAUCACUCAUCUGUCCUCAUGAAUUUCCUAUUAUAUGGACUAUUAAUAUAUUUUACAAAUAUCUUUCAAAAAUGAAUUAAUAUCUAUUCUACAUAGCUCCAUUCCUAUAUGUACAGCAUCCUUGCAAACAUUCAAUUGAUACCUAUCUAAAAACUACUUAAAAAAUUUCCACAAAGUUACUAGUUUCUUUGGUCCACCUAAUUAAUCAUUUGCUGCAUUAUCAAAUGUAGGUUCGACCAAAUCUGGUUCCAAUUACAAAUCUUCUUCUUCUUUCUCUAGUCCAUCGACUCCUUCCUCAAUUGGUUUGAGAGAUCUUCAUUAUACUCACCCAGUAUAUGGACUUGAGCUUCCAAUUUCAAGAUCUAGACAUCCUAAAGUUCCAAUUGUUGUUGUUGCUGACUCAUCCAUUCUGGAAUAUCUUCAAUCGAUACCUGUGACUGGCUCCUCAUUGUUAACUCUUAACUGGAACUACUACUCUCAAAAAUACAAGAAAUACAAGAAAAUGGCACUCUAGCGAACCCAAAACAACACCACAGAAUGACUUUAACUCGUGCCCUACUCCUAUUCUUUUACUACUUGGUGAUAAUGACAACAUGUUAUCCAUACUACCUGUGAAAGGUAAUGGAAAGUAAUCUUUCUUGGUGGCCGCAUAAAAUUUCUAGAAAUCCUGACAUAUCGUGAUUUUUCCAUUUUUCUUCAGUAACAUCAUGAUUGGCGACAUCCAUGCACUAUGUAGAACAGGAUAAAUAAAACCCACGUCAAGAAGUUUAUCCAAUUCCUCUUUCACUAAAAGGAAAUAUUUUAGGUUAAACCGAUGUUGUCUUUGACGAAUUGGCAUAACACCUUCCUCCAAAAUAAUCUGGUGCUCACACACAUCAAUUGGAAUCCCUUUCAAAUUUGCAUACGACCAUGCAAAGGUAGAUUUGUGAUGGACAAAAAAUUAUUUCCAAGCAUCCAAUUCUGUACGGAUAAUACCGGCAUAUAUUUUAAUUAAUUGUGGCAUUUCGUUGGUACCAGGUUAAUGGAUUGAUACAUAGGGUCUUCAACAACCUCUGAUUUAAUUAUCUUCUCCUGAUCUGAAUAUCUUGUAUUAUUUGACAUAUGUGAACCACCCAAAUCUGGUUUCAAUGUGCUGACUCUAUUGACUGCGGAAUUGUUCAUUCAUUUGGCAAUAGUAUGAUCCGAGUUAGUCGCAUCCUCCUGACGUAGUAAAUAUUCGCUGGGACCUCCACAUUGGUAGACUCCUGUCUUUACUGUUGAAGUGUUUUAUCCUACCCCAAAUUGCGGUGAACCUAUAACAUCAGCAUCUUCCUCAAUCGAUUGACUCUCGUUGUCCAAUGUAAAUUCUGAUUUUGGCAAUUGAGAUUCUCCAUGAUAUUGUACCGAGUACAUCUGUAAAACAAUCUUGUCACGGCCUUUUCCAAUUGUCAAUGUGCCUCGGCCUUAAUCGUUCUUAGCUUUGGCUUGAUAAAGCCAAGGUCUGUCCAAUUAAAUGGGAUAUAAUAAUAUAGAACUCUGUAAUCAAAAUACAAUAUAAUCAAUUUUUUAUGUCAAUCCCAUGAUUACAGUGGCAAUAUUGCGUAAGAUUCCCAUUGGCUUUACCUGACUAUGAUCUGCCAUUCGCAAGACCAAUGUCAUAGGUAGUAAUUGCUUUAGAUCCAAGUCCUCUGUUGUAUCCACAUUCAUUAAAUUUAUAUUGAAGCUACCAUCAACUUUUACCCCUAGAAUUAAAACACCAUCGAUUGAUACAUCGAUUGUUGGUGCUUUCGGAUUUGGAUUUAAGCUAACUUCAUGAAUUUCUUUAUUGUGGGAUCUUCAUCGUAUUAGCGCUGAAUUCAAUGUAGAUCGACAUUUUGGUGCUACAGCCAAAAGUUGCUUCAUUGUAAUAGAAGGCCGAAUAGCAUCCAGAUCCUUCAAAAUAUCAUAGGAUUCCAUAUUUAGGUGUGAUUGCUCGUUUUACUUAUUUCAGAAGAAACCUCCCAGAAUAAACCCGUGUAGGGGGAUUCGAACACAAAAAAUGACUAGUUGCUUAAGCAUUCAUGUUAGGGUCACACAAUCAAUUACUUCCUGAAUAUAUCGUCUCUAUUUCCAAUAUCUGAACACAGAAGGAAACUAUAAUCUCCUCCUUCACUUUAUCGGUCUCUUCCUUACAGCAAUUCAGUCAUACCAAUAGCUGCUAUUUCUACCAAUAUAUUCACCCUCAUAAUCUCCAACUAUAAUAUUGUGCCCUCACAGCUUUCAACACACAAUUACCCUCGUUCCAAUUUCUGGAAUUCUUCAAACAGAACUGCCAUUUACAUUACAGUGUUGCAUACAAACACAGACUCAUUCUCUCUUCUGAACUACAAUCAGAUUUCAGCAUUCAAUCUUUCUUCUUCUCAAAUAAUACCAAUUACAUUUCCAUAAUUUACUUCACAAUAUUCAAAAACUUUCAAUCCUCUUAUUCAAAGAAAAUAACAAACAAAAGAAAAGAGGUAGCACCAAACUUACCUCGGCUCACAACUCUCACAGUCUGGCCCUCGGCUUAUGACUCUCACAUUCUGGCCCUCGACUUACGACUCUCACAGUCUAGCCUUUUCUUCCCCUCUCCCAUCCUCCUUAUACUACCCCGAGAUACCAACUCCUAUACUACAGAUGAUAACUACUUUUCUUGACUAUUCAUCCAUUCUACCAGCUGAACCACCUUUUCAACAGUUAUCUAUCCUUGUUUACACUAUACACUAGGUAUCUAUAUUCUAAAAAUAACUACUUAUUCUAUAUAGCUCCACUCCUAACUAUGCAACGUCCUCACAAAUAUUCAAUUGAUACCUAUUUAAAAAUUAUCUAACAAAACUCUACAAAAAUUACGAUCCUUCUGACCUAUCUAAUUAAUCAAUUGCCGCUGUAUCUGUUAUUGGUUCCACCGAUUCCAGUUCCAACUGCAAAUCUUCAUCCUACUCCAAUUCUUCCAUCGGUUCCUGCCUCAACUGAGCUGAAAGAUCUUCAUUGUACUUAUCCAAUUUACGGACUUGAGCUUCCAAUUUCAGGAUCUGGGCAUCUCUCAAUUCCAACUGGUGCUGAAAAAGACUCCUCUCUUCUAGAAUUUCAGAAACUGGCAAUGUCGAUACUUGUGCUUGACCAAUAUUGACUAAAUCCUCUGCCAAUCUUGUCACCUCGACAUUCAAGGCCUCAAUUUCAGCCCUUAACCGCUCCGUUUCACAUCUGUAUUGGUCACUCAAUACCAAUUUCUCUUGCGCCAAUAACUCGGUCUUUUCUCGUUCUAUUACCAACUGACCCUUCACUUCUUCCAGUUCCAAAAUUGAAUGACUGCGAGCCUGAAAUAGUUCUUGCCUGUGGAUCUCCACCAUGCACUCUUUCUUUGUCCCAAGCUUCCUGUUGUUUUCCAAUUUGCCGCUCCAAUAGCAGCUUGGAUUCCGCAUUCGCUUGGAUAAUCCGUUCUUGCUCUUCAAUUCUUCAUGUCUGCUCUGAUAUCACCUUUUUGCUUGCCUCUAAUUCCGGUUUACCACUGCCCUCUAUAUCCAAUGCUCGUACCAUACAAUGUAUUUGCGAAAUACACUUCAAUAAAGAAUUUUUAAGAUGUACGCCUUCCAACAAUAUGCCCUGUAGAAACGCUAACUGAUUGAUAUCUAACAACAUCGGGACUUCAUUCUCUUCCUCCACCACCAAACGAAUCGGAUCCGUUUCCACUACCACUGGAUGACUGGAUUCCCUAAUUUCAUGUAUUACCUUCAUUGUAUUGACAUUCUAUACCAACGAAUUCCGUUCUUGCUGCGGAGGCAUUGGUAUUGGUUCAGAACUUUCCUCUAUUGGUGAUGUUUGCCGCAAUGUGUACGCGAUCACAGCAUACACAUAAUUGGAACAUAGCAAUGCUAUAAACUUCACUAUUUUGUGCUGGGCUCCCAUUUCCGCAUGAAUACGGGUCGCUACAUAAGCUACCCAAUUGAACACCGUCCCUUCAAACGUCCCUACUGUUGCAAACAUUAACCAUUUUGACAUAUAUGUGUUGUAUCGAUACAAUCCUAGAUGCCUCAGCAUGAAGCGCAACCAUUCCAUGAGCUCUAGUGUAAUUACCUCAGCCGUCCGCCAACCUUGGUUCUUCUCAAACGAUGACAUGCUACUUUUGAAAUAACUUUCCGGUCGGAAGUCACUAGACUCCUCAGUACCCACCGCAAUCUCUCCAACUGAAAGAAACAAUAUUUUUUUGAGGAUCUUCUCAUCAAUACCGAUAACGCACCCUUGUACUAUGCUCGAUCCAUCAUGUGGGUCAUAGUUUGCGAUGUAUUCUUCCACUAAUGCCACAUUAAUUGAAGGUAAAUUAUCUCAUUUUCGCAAAAAUUGAAACAUUUGUACGUUUUAAAAAUCUCGUAUUUUCCUUGGCAUCCAGUAAAUCUCCAGCUUCGUAGGCUCCAUAUUGAUAACGAUUACUAUGGAUGGUGGUCCUAAAUUACGUUUAGCUUUUACAUUUCGGCCACUUUUCUCUCUGUCCGUAGUUCUCUUUGCACUCUCCAUCGCCAUGACGCACACUCUUUCAAGCUCUAACCAUCAAUACUACGCUCCAAUACUCCGAAACAUCCAAAAUUGUAACACCAAAAAGAAACAAUAACAGAAUGCGACACCUGAGAAUGAUCGUAAAUGGGUGCGCCACUCCUAUUCUUUUACCUAGUGGUGAUAACGACAACAUGUUACCCUUAUUGUCUGGUUCUCAUCCCCAUCCCAUCUGACACAUUAAUAAUUACUAACUAUCCUUUCAGCCACCUCUACACCCUAACGUACUUAAUUAGGUCUAUCCUACCUACAUUCGACGUGACCUCUUCCAGAAAUUGAAAACCCCUCCCGGAUUUUAAGUAUGAUAUAACCGUAAUCGGUUCCCGUUAAUGUGGGUACUGAAUCACUGAUCCAUAAAAUCCUCCAAUUGAAUAAACCCAUUGAAAAACCCUUCAAUUACACAAUAUGGCCCGUGCCAACGAACUUGAAAUUUGUCUGGAAAAUGAUUAAACCUGCUAUUAAACAACAAUACCAAAUCAUUGGGCAUAAAACUCUUCGGAUGGAGUUUACUAUUAUAGUAACUCUUCCAUCAUUUUUGAGUUGCUUCCUUGUUGAAGAGAGUUGUAGCCCAUAUUUCAUCCAAUUUGUUCAACUCUGCCAACUGAUAUUGAAGUGAUUCUUUAUCUCCAAGACGUUCAUCCAACGCAAUGCACAAACUCUGAACUUCCAAUUCAAUGGAUAAUAUUGCUUCUUGCCCAUACACCAAUUGGAAUGGUAUGGAAUUGGUAGUCACUUUAUAUGCAGUAUGAUACGCCUACAAUAUCGCAAACAAUUUAGUAUCCCAAUCCGUUCCUGCGCCCGAAAUUAUUUUGGUUAAAAUCUUACAUAGAAUACCAUUGGUCUUUUUCGUCUGCCCAUUGGCCCGAGGAUGAUAUGGUGUUUUCUUCCUGUGCUUGAUUUCAUAUGUGUUUGUCAAGGCUGCUAUGGUUGUAUUUAUGAAAUGGGUGCCACGAUUGCUAACCAAUUCCUUUGGACACCCAAAUCGAGUAAUAAUAUUCUAGUAUAGAAAUGUGGCCAUCGUAUUGGCAUUAUCAUUGCGGAUAGCAAUAACCUCCACCCAUUUUGUUACAUAGUCUAUGGCGACUAAAAUAUACUACUUUUGUCUAUGUCUCAAUGCUGGUGCAAUGGGUCCAACAAAAUCAAUUCCCUAUUUUUCAAAUGGUGCCUGUGCCAAGAUUGGUACUAACGGCAUCGCUGAAGUACCCGUGGGUCGACUAAUUCGUUGACAGGGAUCACAAUGACGAACAAAUUGGUGCGCAUCAGAAAACAUUGUGGGCCACCAAUAUCCAACCAUUAAAGCCUUGCGAGUAGUACUGUCUCCCGCAAAAUGUCCACCACAACUAUCCAAAUGACAUCCUUCCAAAAUUGUACGAACUUCACUUUGAAAGAUGCAACGGCAUAAAAUUCUGUCCUGCCCUUGUUUGUACAAGGCAUUUCCAAUCAUGGUAUACGGCGCAUUUUUUAAAAUUAGACGCUUCUUUAGUUUUUCAUUAUAAGAAAUGAGAAAAAUCUGAAACGUUAGAUAUUGGAUCAAUUCACCAUAUUCGAGUGUAAUGACAUCCACAGCGAAUAAUUGUGCAUCCGAAAGAGCAUCGUUUAUCGGCUCAUUAUCUAGUAUAUUAGAUAAAAGGGAUAAGUGAUCCGCAUUGGCAUGUUUCUUGUUGGGUCGAACGUUAAUUGUAAAGUUGAAUUCCUGUAGAAGUAACACUCAUCGAGCAAUUCAUCCAUUCAAUUGAGGUUUAUUUAUCAUGUAUUUGAGGGCAUCAUGAUCCGCAUAAAAGACAAAGGGAUACCUAAGCAAAUAGUGCCAAAAUGAGUCAUGCUAUUGAUAUAAGAAUAUAUAAAGAUGAAGAAGAGGUUGAUAUUGGUUACAAGCAACCAACAAAUGAAAAGAAUGGAUAUAAUCAACGAGUACAUUUUGAAGGUUAUAGUGAUAAGAAAAUGGAAACUUUGAGCCAUUAUACUCAAAAGCAUUGGGCAAGGGCAACUACUGAGGUAUUGAUGAAAGUAGGAGAUAUAGAAGAACCAAUUGUUGCUUUAGUAGACCAUGGUUCUGAAAUAAAUCUUAUGUCUAAAGAUCUUUAUAAGAAGCAAAAAUAGCCAAUUGAUAUGGAACAUGGAUGGGCAAUACGAGCAGCUAAUAACACAUGGGACGAAUUAUAUGGAGCUUAUUCAGAUGUCAAAAUUUGGAUUGGGGAUGUUGCGACGGAGCAACAUUUCUUUGUUUAAGAUACAACAUCUUAUCCAUUGAUUUUAUGACAACCUUAUAUUACGAAAACACGGAUGGAAACAAAAGUACUUGAUGAUGGUUCUGCUUAUGCAAGGAUACGUAGCAAAGAUGGGAGGAAAGCUGUACAAUUUCUAAUAGUACCUCUUAACCCUGAACGGAAUCGAGAUAGGUUGAGGGAGAAACCAUUGCCAAAGAUUGUUGAAGGAUUUAAGGAUUUUGGAGAGGUACCACUAUAAAGCGAGAUUAUGGAGGUACAAAAGAGGAGGUACUCUCGCGAGAUGAAGGUACCUUUGAUGCAAGUUUUAUUGGUAUUUUAGAGAAUGGAAAUAUUAUGUAUAAAAAAGUUGAUGAUUUUAAAAGAAAAGAAAGAAAAAGAUUAUAUAAUAUUGAAGGAGAAUUACGCAAGUUAGGUACAUUGCAAGAUGAUGAGAGGAUUUUAGGUGUUUAUGAAGAAAAUAGACUGGAAGAUUCAUUGGAAUUGAUUACAUCUAUUGGAUUAGAGGAUAAUGAUAAGAUUGUUGAGAUUCAUUCGAGAGAGAUUUAUACCAUACUUGAAUCUUUUCAAGCACCAGAAGUCACUAUAGAGACGAGAUAUAAAACGAUAGAUAAGAAGGUAAAGCUUAUUGCCGGACCAUUAUCAAAAGAUUUUAAGGAACAAAUGGGAGAAGCAUCAAAAGAAGCAAGUUUAAGAGAUUCAAUGGCUAUUGGACAUUAGUAUACUAAAGAGACUUUUGAAAAAUUGAAGAUUGGUUCUGAUGGUUCUUUAUUGUCGGAGGAAAUUACUUGCUUCAAAAAGAUGUUGGCUAAACAAGGUAGAUCGUUUGCCUUUGAAUCUUAUGAAAUUAGGUGUGUGGAUCCGAAUAUUAUAACAUCUAUGGUUAUCUUCAUUGUAUCAUAUGUACCUUGGAAUCUAAGACUGAUUUCAGUAACGAGGGCACAUUUACCUACAUUGAUGGAACUAUUAAAGGAAAAGAUGAAGAUGAAAAUAUUGAAACCCUUAUUUGUGCCGUAUUUUAGUCAAUGGUUUAUGAUACCUAAGAAGAAUGAGUCUCUACGUUUUAUUCAAGAUAUGCAACUGGUGAAUGUAGUAACUGUCAAGAAUACAAGAAUUAGACCUAUUGUGGAUGAAUUUACUGAGGCGUUUAUAAGAAAGGCGAUCUAUCCAAUGGGUGACUUGUAUUCAGGUUAUGAUCAAUUUCAACUUGCUGAAGGAAGUAGAAAUAUAACAACGAUGAGGACACCACUUAGAUUGGUUAGAAUGUGCACUCUUCCUCAAGGCGCGACCAACUCAGUUGCGCAUAUGAUGAAUGGGAUGAAUAAGGUAUUGAGAGAUUUUAUUAUGAAGAAGACUAUGUCUUUUUUGGAUGAUGUUCCUAUAAAAGGGUGCAGAGAAGGAGACAAAGAUGAAACUUUAGAUAAUAGGGUGUCACAAAUAUGUUGUUGAUCAUAUACAAGAUUGUGAAAAGAUUUUAACUCGGCUUGGAGAAGUUCAUCUUACAUUAUCGGGUAUGAAGUCUGUAUUUGGAGUACAAGAGGUUGUGAUUGUUGGACAUUUAUGUGGAUCUUACGGAAGAAAACCAGAUCCGACUAAAGUUGAUGCAAUUGGAAGGAUGAAAGAGGAUUGUGAUUCUUUAACAGAGGUUCACAAGUUAAUUGAUACAUAUCGGAAGAUGCACAGGUUCAGAGGGGGUGGAUGUCGUGUUGUAAUACGAGUAUAUCAUGAAGAUAUAAAAAAAGGGGACUUUUAUUAUUGUUCAGUUACCUCGAAUAUUGGGAGCAACGACCAAUUUUAGUGCCAAUAUUCAGGGGCCAAUUCAGACACCCCGUCACAGUCGAUCAGGGCAUACUUACCAGUAACGAAAUGCUUCGUUCGAGUCCAAUAGUGGGAUCAACAGAAUUGAAAGGACUAAAUUGAUGACUGAGCGAGCCUGACGCGAAGGACCAAUUUGACCCAAUUAUGAAAACAUCCAGGUCUUACUACGGGCCUCUUAGCCAAUAUAAGACCUGAUUUGGUUGGACAACUCAAUGUGGUCUCAAUUAUGGGGGUUUCGAUUCCAUUUCAGGAUGUCCUAUUUUCUAUGCCGUUUCAAGGAAUGUUGUUUUUGAAAAAAGAACCUUUUAAAAGGUAAAAAAUAAACGAGAAAGCUUUGACAGUGGAGCCAAUUUCAGAUCCAAGACAAAAGAUUGAAGAAAUUCAGAGGCUAGGAUUUAAGAAGGGAGAAGCAGGAUUUUAAAGGUCGGAGAGCUAGCUUCACGCUUGAAAAGACAGAGAGUUGGAGUUUUUUUUUCAUAGGGUUUUGAAAAGAUUGUGGCAAUCAUUGCUGAAAGCCAAGGAACAUCAGUGCAGAUUGCAGCAUAGCCUCACAAUCUGUAAGCGGAGUUGAACUGAAACUUCUUAAGCAUUGGAAAGGGAUUGCAGAGAUACUAGCGAUAGAUAUUUCAUAACAAGUCGGAAGGACAGAUUGAGGAUCACAGCUUGCCGAAGUUCACGGUCUAAGAUUAAAAUAAUUAACGAUAAAGAUAAAAUAAAAAAACAUAAAAUAAAUAAAAUAAAAUAAAAAUAACAAAAGAGAUUGAAGUUAUAUAGGGUUAUAUAGGCGUUUUAUAUUGGAAUUAAGCUUUUACAUUGUAAUCUGAUAUAGAUUGUAUUUGGAUAGUCAAGAACUCGAUAGACUGCUUGAGUACUAGCCAAACACCAUACUACUUCCUACAGCCAGACGCCUGACGCGUUCUCAAGUAAAUUAACACGUAAUAUGACACCGUCGGGUAUAUCAAGUACUCCUCUGGACCUCUACAUUGGUAUACCAUUCCAAGGUGUAGUGCUGCUUCUACGAGCGCCUCUGUAAUUGGUGCUACUGAGUCGUCAUCGGAGCUAAGCUCAUUGUCCGACAUUAAUUCAGAUGCUGGUAAUUGAGACUCCCUGUGAUAGUGUAUUGGGUACAUUUGUAACACCAUUUUGUCUCUGUCCUUGCCAAUUAUCAAAGUACUCCAACCCCAAUCGUUCUUGGCCUUUGCUUGAUACAACCAGGGUCAUCCCAAUAAAAUUGGAUAUAAUAAAGUCGAACGUUGUAACCGAAAGACGAUAUACUUGAUUUCAUAUGCAAUACCGGCAAUCAUAGUUUGAACACUCUGUAAGAUACUCAUUGGUUUAAUCCAGCUAUGAUCUGCCAUUCGUAAUACCAAUGUCGUAGGUAGCAAUUGCUUUAGAUCUAAGUCCUCUAUUAUAUCCGCGUUCAUUAAAUUCACACUGGAGCCACCAUCGACAUGUACCCCUGGAAAUAAAAUGCCAUCGAUUAAUACAUCGAUUGUUGGUGCUCCCAGAUCUAGAUUUAAGCUAAUUUCAUGAAUUUCUUUAGUACGAGAUCUUCGUCAUAUUAACGCUGAAUUCAAUGUAGAUCGACAUUCCGGUGCUACAGCCAAAAGUUGCUUCAUUGUAAUUGAAGGCUGAAUAACAUCCAAAUCCCUCAGAAUGUCAUAGGAUUCCAUAUUGAGAGUAAUUCCCAAUGCUCUUUUGCGUUUCAUUGGUUUCAAUUUUACUCCAUUCCGCAGUAAUUCCUUCUUAGCGAUUGGGAUUGCCAUUGGUAACUUCACUAACUUGUCUACUACUAAAGGUUCCUUUAAUGCGUAAGAUCUUUUAUUGGGCUAUACAAGUAUUAGUACUUGGUCAGUUGGGAUCGAUCUUGAUGGUCCCAGCAAAUUGGUACGUGGGACUGAAUUGGGUUCCUCAGUCUGUUGAGGUCUCAAUAUUGGGAUACGUUCCAAUACUGAUAUUGGUUUAUUUAGCCCCGUAGACGAUGCUACUUGCUCUCCUGUGAUUGGUUCAUCCAUGUCAUGAAUUAGAUUCUUAUCUUUUUGUUGGCCUCUAGUAAGCACUGUGUUCACGACCUCGACACGAUGUACUCGUGAGUCUCGUUGAACAAGGCCUUUGUCCUCCAUCGCUUGGCUUAUUUGCAUUUGUUGGUCCCGAUUAUUAUAAUUAAAGGGUGCAUUGCACUGCUGAUAAGUAUGACCAGACUGCUUACAAUUUCUACAUAUUGGAGCAUAGUCAUCACUGGCUCUUGGAUUAGUACAUUCAUUGGCAUAAUGACUAAUUUGUCUUCAACAAUAGCAACAAAGUAGUCUCUUGUUUCUUCCUUCAGGGAUAAUGGAUGUCUCUAUUGGUAUAUAAUGGCUAGGUCUGUUCCAUGUCAGAUUAGGAAAGGAUCAUGAUUGAUCCAUUGUUACUAUAGAGUCUGGCAUUGGCUUCGUCAUGGGUGGAUAUUGAUGGUAUCCUGAUUGGUUCAUCGCCAAUCCGUCAGUAUUGGAUAUACCUUCUUGGUGAAAUUCAGAGUUGAAGAAAUUAGAAUAAUUCCUAUUUUGUUUAUUCGCUUGAUUUUCAUUCCAACCAAACCUAUUAUUCGUCUAUACUUGAUUGACAUCUCAUUAAGUUGGUUGAGUCAUUAUCUCGUUACUGAGUUGUUGUUGCUUCCAUAAAUUCCAACAGUUGGUGGUAAUAUGCUUGCCCCCGCAAAAGGUAUAUUGUACAAUCAUUUGGGGUGGUGAAGGACAUUCUGUUACUAAAUGACUUUGUCCCUUACAAUUUUUGUACCAGACAUUGGGACGCAUAUUGGUUGGUUUAUAGCUUUUUUCUUUAUCCUUGGCCAGAUUCACAGCCAAUUCAUCCAUUUUUUUCAUCAAUGUUAACAACAAUGACUCAUUAGGAUCCCUUGAUACCAAUGCAUUUGGCAAUUCCUUUAUAGGUAUUGGUUUCUGAUAUGCAGAAUAAGGCACAUACAGGUGUGAUGAUGAUGGUGGUACAACUUGCAAUGGAACAACAUCCACUAUUCCUUGUGGAAUUGUACCAUAAUCAUUCCUUCUCAGAUAACUUCCCGAUGCAUCAUUCCAAUUUAUCAUUUGAUAACCUCCUUGAGAUGAAAUCAUCGUAGAUCCAACUAUUAAGUUUUGGUCAUAGUGACAUUCCUCCCAUACUUUUGCUCGCUCAAGAGAUGAUGCAAUGGUGGCUGAUUGGGCCUCCUUUACAAACUUUUUUAAUUCUGGUGGAUGUAGUCCAUUAACCAAUAUGGACAACACAAAUGAUUUCGACAUUUGGUUAUUUGGCCAUUUUCAAAGUAUAUCCACUACACGACCAUAAUAUGAUUGUACUGCUUCUCCUGGUACCAUUCUGCUAUUCAUUAGUUUUUCUCUAAGACGUACUUCAAAAUCAAUUGGUCGAAAAUGGGCUAAAAAUGUAUUUUUCAAUGCCAUCCAAUUGAUAAAUUGUCCCACAGGUUGGCGGUUAUACCACUCAAAUGCUAUGUCUUUCAAUGUCGCUGGCAGCCAUCUCAACCAAAUGUCUUUUGUUCUUCCAUUAUUGGCUACACUUGCCGUCAAGAAUUGAGACAAAUGUUGAUCUGGAUCCACACUUGGCAAAUCUUGAAAAGUAGAUAAUGGCACGAUGCUAGUCGUUCGAUCGCCCACUGCACCCAUUUGAACUGCAAUCGGAACUGUUGGUUCUCCGGACGUCAUUAAAGAUGCCGGUGUUCCACUCAAUUUCUUAUUAAAAUAAGAACUCUCUCUCGCAAAAGUCUUUUUUGGACUUUCGGGCCUUUUCGAUUGACUAUUAUUAUCUCCAAAUAAUUUUAUUGGUUGAAUAUGAGAUGAAAACAACAUGUUUUGAUAUACUCUAAAUUGGUCUUUAUUGGCAAGUGAUUUUUGCUGAUCUUCAGAACCAGUCUUGUUAGGAUCGGACGUAUUUCCAAUUGAGAAGAUACCCAGUGGGGUAUCUAAUUCCUCUGUGCCUUCUUCAUUUUCCGUUAAUGGCUUCGAGAGGUUUGCUGGCCUAUUAGUAGCGCUUCCCGCGAGUGCUCUUGGUAAUUUCUUUAAUGGUAUGUACUUCUGAAAUAUUAGAGGUCGAUCGUCUUCUAGGUACGAUCAAAUAUGCCGACAGGCAUGCAACCACAGCUUAAUCCAACUUUGUCGAUGCUUCUUUUUUAAUUUGUGAUCUCGAUCAUUACGCAACAAAUUUCUUGCUUAUGAUCGCUCUAUUCUUUCCUUUGAUUGCUUUAUUCUCUUUGCUGUUAAAUUUUCAUUCUUAAUAACCAUACUCUUUCUUCAAACACUACUAAAAUCGUCUUCCAUUGCCAAUUUUUUCACACUUUUGGUAAUUAAUUCCUAACACUCAAAGCUAUUAUCACUUCCCGGCAGCGGCGCCAAAAUGUGACUGCUCGUUUUACUUAUUUCGGAAGAGAUCUCCCAGAAUAAACCCGUGUAGGGAAAUUCGAACAUGAAAAAUGACUAGUUGCUUAAGCGUUCACGUUAGGAUCACACAAUCAAUUAUCUCCUCAAUGUAUCAUCUCUAUUUCCAAUAUCUGAAUACACAAGGAAACUAUAAUCUCCUCCUUCACUUUAUCAGUCUCUUCCUUACAGUAAUUCAGUCAUAUCAAUAACUGCUAUUUCUACCAAUAUAUUCACCUUCAUAAUCUCUAACUAUAAUACUGUGCCCUCACAGCUUUCAGCACACAAUUACCCUAGUUUCAAUCUUUGGAAUUCUUCAAACAGAACUGCCAUUCACAUUACAGUGUUUCACACAAACACAGACUCAUUCUCAAUCAGAUUUCAGCAUUCAAUCUUUCUUCUUCUCAAAUAAUACCAAUCACAUUUCUAUAAUUCACUUCACAAUAUUUAGAAACUUUUAAUCUUCUUAUUCAAAGAAAAUAACAAACAAAAGAAAAGAGGUAGCACCAAACUUACCUCGGCUCACAACUCUCACAGUCUGGCCCUCGGCUUAUGACUCUCAUAGUCUGGCCUUUUCUUCCCCUCUCCCAUCCUCCUUAUACUACCCCGAGAUACCAACUCCUAUACUACAGAUGAUAACUACUUUUUCUGACUAUUCAUCUAUUCUACCAGCUGAACCACUUUUUCAGCAGUUAUCUAUCCCUGUUUACACUAUACACUAGGUAUCUACAUUCUGAAAAUAACUACUUAUUCUAUAUUAGGGUAAUUCCCAAUGUCCUCUUUCUUUUCAUUGGUUUGAGUUUAACUCCGUGAGGUAAGAUAUUCUUUUGCUGACUCUGGGUAAGAACGAUUUCGACACAUUCUACCCAAUUUAUCGGAGAAACUUGAGAACCUCGAUUUAUUUCCUCAAUUUUUUCUUGGCUUUGGAUCUGUUGAUCCCGAUUAUUGAAAUUGAAUGGAGUAGUACAUUGCUGAUACGUAUGCCCCUAUUGCUCGCAAUUCCUACAAACUGGUGCAUAAUCGUCAUUGGCUCUGAGAUUGAGACAUUCAUUGGCAUAAUGACCAAUCUGUCUGUAACGAAAACAAUGAAGUGGUCUUCUUGCACUCCCAUCAGGCAUAUUGGGUGUCUCCACUGGUAUAUACCUACUAGGUUUGUUCCAUGUAGGGUUAAAAAAUGAUCUUGGUUGUCCCGUUGGUACUGAGGGAACUUGGUUUGAUGACGUCAAUGGAGCAUAUUGUUGAUACUUCUGCUGCUUUUUAUCAUAGUUCUGGGAAUUUGAUGUAGACCCCUGAUUAAAAUUGGAACUUUGAAAGUUAUUGAAUGCUCGAUUUUAUCGAUUAAAUCAAUUUUUAUUCCAUCCAAACGUAUUUUUUAUUUGUACUUGAUUGACGUUCCACUAGCUUGGUGGAAUCAUGGUCUGAUUACUAAAUUGUUGUUGUUGUUGUCUUUGCUAAUUCCAACAAUUUGCUGUUAGGUGCUUUCCUCCGCAAAAUGUACAUUGACCCAUUAUUUGUGAGGGUGAAGGGCAUUAUGUUACAAAAUGACCGUAGCCCUUACAAUUACUGCACCAUACAUUGGUCUUAGUAUUGAUAGGCUUUUAUCUCUUCUCCUUAUCUUUGGCCAUAUUGAAAGCCAUUUCCUCCAUUUUCUUCAUCAAAUUUAAUAACAAGGUUUCAUUAGAAUCUUUUAGGGUUGGCAUUAUUGGUAUCUCUGCCGUAGUUAACGCUUAUUGUUGAUACGAAAAAUAUGGAGCAUAUGUUGUUGUCACAUUCAGUGGUAUAGCUUGCAAUGGGGUGACAUUAAUUGGUCCUUGAAUAUUGGUAUUGGAAUUGGCUCCUAUUUCUAACAUCCGUGGAUAACUAUCUACUGAUUUGUUCUAAGUCAAAUUUUGAUAUCUAUCUUGAACUGGAAUCAUCGUGGCUCCUGCAGUUAAAAAUUGAUCAUAAUGGCAUUCUUCCCAAACCUUGGCUCUAUUAAAGGAUGCAGCCACCGUAACGGUUUGAGCUUCCGUUACAAAUAUUUUUAGCUCUGGUGGAUGCAAACCAUUGAUUAAUAUGGAUAAGAUAAAUGCCUCAGGUAUUUGGUGAUUCGGCCACUUAUUGAGUAUAUCAGCCACUUGACGAUAGUACGAUUCCAUCGCCUCUUUUAUGAUCAUUUUGUUAUUCAUUAACCUCUCUCAAAGGCGAUCGUCAAAACCAAUUAAUCAAAAAUGAGAUAAAAAUACAUUCUUCAAUGCUUCCCAAUUCGAAAAUUGAUCCACUAGUUGGCGGUUGUACCAUUCAAACGCCGUAUCUUUUAAGGUCGCUGGCAGCCAUCGUAACCAAAUAUCUUCAGUUCUGCCAUUAUUAGCUAUACAUGGUGUAAAAAAUUGAAAUAAAUAUUAAUCAAGAUCCACGUCUGGAAAUCCCCAAAAAGUAGGUUAUGACGUGACACUAGUCAUACGAUCGCAUAUUGUAUCCAUUUGUACUGCAAUCGAAACAGUUGAUCUUCCUGACGCCAUUGAAUUUCUUGUUUCACUAAACUCCAUUUUAAAAUAAUCUCUGCUUUCUUUUAUUCUAAUUUCCGAGCUCUCAGUGCUCCUCGAUUUAUUGUUAUUUUCUAUAAUUAGUUUUAUUGGUUGAAUUACAGAUGAAAAUGUCAGAUUUUGAAAUAUAAUAUAGUUAUCUUUAUUGGCAACCAAUUUGUGUCAAUCUGAAGAGCCACUAUUGUUCAUUUCAGCGGUACCUCCUACUGAAAAAAUACCCAAUGGAGUACCAAAUUCUUCUACGCCUCCUUCUCUUUCUGUUAACGGCCUUAAGAUUUCCACUGGAAUGUUAACAAAAUUUUCUGCAAGUAUUCUUGAUAAUUUUUCUAAUGGUACAUACGAUUGCAGAAUUAAUAGUUCGAUUCUUGAUAUGUUUGGAUGCAUCAACAAGCUUGUAACCAUGUUUAAUCCAAUUCUGUCGAUACUUCUUUUUAAGAUUACGUUCUUGCUCCUCUCUAAGUAAGUUCCUUCCUUGCGCUCUUUCCUGUCUUUUUUUCAACUAAUUUAUUUUCCUCGAUGCAAUGCUCUCGUUCUUAUUAACCAUAAUCUUGCUUCAAACACUACUGAAAUCGUCUUCCAUUGCCAAUUUUUUCACAUGUUUGGUAAUUAAUUCCUAACACUCAAAGCUAUUAUCACUCCCCGACAGUGGCGCCAAAAUGUGAUUGCUCGUUUUACUUAUUCUAAAUUAAUCUAAUGGGAAUAAAUCCGUAUAGGAGGAUUCGAACACGGGGAAUGACUAGUUGCUUAAGGGUGCACGUUAGGGUCAUACAAUCAAUUACCUCCUAAAUGUAUUGUCUCUAUUUCUAAUAUCUAAACACACAAGGAAACUAUAAUCUCCUCCUUCACCUUAUCGGUCUCUUCCUCACAGCAAUUUAGUCAUACCAAUAACUGCUAUUUCCACCAAUAUAUUCACCUUCAUAAUCUCCAAUUGUAAUACUACGCCCUCACAGCUUUCAGUACACAAUUACCUUCAUUCCAAUCACUGGAAUUCUUCACACAGAACUACCAUUCACAUUACAGUGUUUCACACAAACACAAACUCAUUCUCUUUGCUGAACUACAAUUAAAUUUCAGCAUUCAAUCUUUCUUCUUCUCAAAUAAUACCAAUCACAUUUCCAUUCCAUAAUUCACUUCACAAUAUUCAGAAACUUUCAAUCCUCUUAUUCAAAGAAAAUAACAAACAAAAGAAAAGAGGUAGUACCAAGCUUACCCCGGCUCUCACUAUCACAUCGAUGGCACCUUAAUUAACUUCUACAAUUCCUAUAUACUUUCUCUUGAUUCUCUAGUUUCUAAUCGUAAUUCUAUAAUUAACUGCUUUUAAGAACUAAAUCAUUCAUCCGUCCUCCUGAAUUUUUUAUUAUAUAAACUAUUAAUAUAUUUUAUCAAUAUCUUUCAAAAAUGAAUUAAUAUCUAUUCUACAAAAUAUUAGAAAUUGAUUGUAUGGGAGAUGGAAUUAUAUGUUGAAUGAAAAUGUGAGAAAAACCAGUUUUAGGAUUACAAAUAUGUAAGUUAUAAUUCAAGGCAGUAUUGAUUUUGUAAAGAAGAAUGAAAGAUUAUGAAUGAUAAUCAUGAAGGAAAAGAUUAUCAAAGAAUUAAUCGAUAAGCAAAAGAAAGACAGGAGCGAUUACGGAUAAGAAAUCUCCUACGAGAAUGAUAAAAAAAGAAUUGUAGGUCCAAGUAAAAUCAAAGGAAGAAAAAUUCAAAUUCAAAUAGCAAGAAGACCUGUGAUAAUCCCAAUGGCCGCAAGAGUGCCAAAAGUACCAAUUGCGGUACAAAUGGGAGCAGUAGGAGGCCGCACUAUAAGUGUGGCACCAUUAGCUACUUUUAGUGGUUGGCUGGGCUCUAAUCCCGAUCACCAUAUAUCUCAAUUUUUGACAGCCUGCAUGACUAAUAAUGGUAGAAUUGAAGACAUUUGAUUGAGAUGAUUACCAGCAACUUUAAAAGAUACAGCUUUUGAAUGGUAUAAUCGGCAACCAAUGGAUAGAUUUUUCAAUUGGGAGGCCUUGAGGAAUGCUUUUCUAAUCUAUUAUAGACCAAUUGGAUUUGAAAAUCGGCUUAGAGAAAGUUUUAUGAAUAGUAGGAUGUUUGCAGGGGAAUCAGUAGAGUCCUAUUAUGGUCGGGUCACGGAUAUACUUCGUAAAUGAUCAAAUAAUCAAAUGCCAGAUGCGUUUAUAUUGUCGAUAUUAAUCAAUAGUUUGCAUCUAUCAGAAUUAAAAAUGUUUGUAAAAGAGGCUCGACCAGCUACAAUAGAGACAUCGUUGGCACAAGCAAAGAUUUGGGAGGAAUGCCAUUAUGAUCAAUUUUUAACUACGGGUACAAUGAUGAUUCCAAUUCAAGGCAGCUAUCAAAAUCUGACUUGGAACAGAUCAGUGGGUAGUUAUUGACAAAUAUUAGAAGUAGUGACCAAUUUUAGUGACAAUAUUCAGGGGCCAAUUAAUGUCAUACCAUUGCAAGCUAUACCACCGAACAUAACAACAGCAUAUGCUCCAUAUUUUCCAUAUCAACAACAAGUGGCAAAGUUACCAAUAAUACCAACUCCAAAAGAUUCUAGUGAAGCCUUGUUAUUGAAUCUGACAAAGAAAAUGGAGGAAAUGGUCAUUAAUAUGGCUAAAGAUAAGGAAAAGAGGCACAAGCCUACCAAUACUAAGACCAAUGUAUAGUGCAGUAAUUGUAAGGAUCAUGGUAAUUUGGUAUCAGAAUGUCCUUCAUCCUCACAAAUGAUGGAUCAAUGUACAUUUUGUAGAGGAAAGCAGUCUACCCAAAACUAUUGGAAUUAGCAAAGGCAACAGCAAUUUAGUAAUCAAACCAUGAUCCCACCGACUAAGUCGGAAGUCAAUCAAGUUCAAACAAGAAAUAUGUAUAGAUGGAAUGGAAAUUGAUCUAAUCGAUAAAAUCGAGCAUUCAAUAACUUUUAAAGUUCUAAUUUUAAUCAAAGAUCUGCAUGAAAUCCACAGAACUAUGGGAAGGAGGAGCAGAGGUAUCAACAAUAUGCUCCACCGGCGUCAUCAUACCAAGUACCCUUUAUUGUCGUAUUACGUGCUAUUUAGCUUGAAAAUGCAUCAAACGUUUGGCUAAGGAAGAUAAAAUGAUGUUUUGCAAGUAUCCAAGUAGUGUAGUGGAUUUCAACUAUCUAAACACAAAAUAUUUCGUAUUUCAAUAUAAGAGCUUAACCCCAAUAUAAAGUACUUAGAAUACUAUUUUUAAUAGCUUUUGGAUAUUAUUAGUAUAGAUCUUUUUGCUAUUUGUUAUUUUUAUUUCUAUUUCAUUAAUUUUUUAUUUAUUUAUUUUUAUUUAUUUUUAUUUUUAUUUUUAUUUAUUUUUAAGUCCUAAUCUUAGACAGCGAGCCUCGACAAGCUGUAAUUCUCAAUUUGACCGUCCGAUUGUUGUGAGACUUCUACCACUAGUGUCUUUAUAAGUCUUUUAAAUGUUCAAGAAGUUCAAUCCAAUCCAACUUACAGAUUGUAAGAACAUCGUAAAUCCACGCUGAAAUCCUUUGAUCACCAACUAGAAGAUUGAUGAUGAACUUUAACUUACAAUUUCUCCUUCUCUGACCAUUAAUUCUCAUUCAAACUUUGUGUGCAGCUCCGCCUUUAAGUCCUCGACUUAUCAUGUCAAAAUUCACCUUAUUCUAGCUAGUAGAUCUCAAAUAUUACAAAAAUCCUAAACAACUCCAAUAUGCCAACUUCUGAUACCUCUUUAUACUAAUGAUCAAAUAUCCUCUAUCCGUACCGUAAGAUUAACACAAAUUUUUGCAUACACUUAGUAUACUCAACCAUCGAGACACCUCUAAAAUUUCAACCAUAGAUAUUUCUCCAAUUUUGUAAAACAGUCAAGAGUACUAGCCUUUACUUUAUUGCAAAAAUCCAAUUCACUAAUACAAACACUGACUUUGAGCAACGAUUGCAAAGUCCUUCCAACCCUAUGAAAUUCUAUUCUAUACCUUUUGAAGGAGCUUGAAGCUAGCUCUUCAAUCCCAAAAAUCCUGAUCUCCGAAUGUCCACUUUUUUUUUUCCUCUCUUCUCCUUUAACUCCAUGAGGUUCUCUAUUCUUCCGCCUUGGACUCCGAAUUGAAAUAGCAAACCCGCCUCCAUAGAAUUCCUGUCUCUAAGAGAAUCUUUUCACGGAAAGAAUGUUUCUUCAAAAUGACAUAGAGAAUAGAAGAGCUUGAAAUGGAACCGAAGCCUCUGUAUUUGGGAUCUCAUUGGGUUGCCCAACCUAGUCAGGUGUCAUAUUGGAUAAGAGGUCCAUACCAGGACCUGGAUUGGAUGUCCCCGUAAUUUGGUCAAAUUGGUCCUUGACAUCAGACUUACUCGAAUAUUGAAUUGGUUCUUUCUCCUUUUUCUGACUCCUAGUAAGAACUACUCAGAUUCAUUCCAUCUGAUUUAUCAGAGAUUCUUAAGGACCUUGAUUUAUUUCUUCAAAUUUUCCUUGCCUUUGGAUCUGCUUACUUCAAUUAUUGAAAUUGAAUAGAGCAUUACAUUGCUGAUAAGUAUGCCUUGACUGCUUGUUAUUCCUACACACUAGUGCAUAAUUGUCAUUAGCUCUGAGAUUGGGACAUUCACUAGCAUAAUCAUCAAUCUGUCUACAACAAAAACAACAAAGUAGUCUUCUUGCACCCCCAUCAGGCAUAUUGGGUGUCUCUAUCAGUAUAUACCUACUAGGCUUGUUCCAUGUAGGGUUAGAAAAUGAUCCUGGUCAUCCCGUUGGUAUGGAGGGUACUUAGUUCAAUGACACUAGUGGAGCAUACAUUCUUGUCAUGUUUGGUGGUAGAGCUUGCAAUGGGGUGAUAUUAAUUGGCCCUUGAAUAUUGGCACUAGAAUUGGCCACUACUUCUAACAUCGAAGGUGACUAAAUAUUAAUAAAUCUUUUCCAUUUAUAUUUUCACCAUAUAGUCAUAUUGCAACACGACGUCCACCCCCUUUGAACAUGUGCAUCCUCUAGUAUGCACCAAAUAACAUAGUUGUUUAAUUUAUAAUAUGUUCUCUAAGUCUUCGUCUAAUUUUUCUUCAUGACUUUUGUUAUCCAAGUCAAUUUCAUCUUCUUGUUGAGGAAUAUCUAUGUCUUCACCAAAGUCUUCUAUAUUUAUUUCUGUAUAUCUUUGUUUAAAUAUUUUAACUCGCUUCCCUACAAUUGAUAUUUUUAACCUUCCUCCAUCUAACUCCAGCAGUGAGUAAGUUACAUUAUCGUAAAUAGUUGUUACCACAUACGGUCCAAAACAUCAUUUAAAAAACUUCCUUAAAGUACUAUGUUGAUUGUCCAAGCUACUAUCAUAGACCAAAAUCCAAUCACCUUUUUCAAUUGCUUUAGAUCUCAAUGUUAGGGACAUAGUCCUUAGAACCUUCUAAAGACAAGUUUCUAGAACUUUCUAGAAACAAGUGUUUGGAACCUUCUAGAAGCUUCUUAGUUGGUAGAAGAUGUUAGAGACAUAGUCCUUAGAACCUUCUAGAGACAAGUUUCUAGAACCUUCUAGAAGCAAGUCUCUGGAACCUUCUAGAAGCUUCAUAGUUAGUAGAAGUUGCUGGAGAAGCUUCCUAAAUAGGAGUAUAUAUUGGAAUCGAGGCUGAAGAGUUCUUCAAUCUUAACAACAUAUUUCUUGGAGCUCUAGCUCACCUCUCUGGUGAUGUUCUUGUAUUCAUCUGAUUAAUCUAAUUCUUCUCAAUUCUUCUUGAACUUCUUGUUAGAUCUCGAGUCUGUAUUUCUUUGUCCGUGACAGUUCGUUGAGACUUCACUCACCUCAGAUAUCAGAGCUAGUUUCUUCCUCAUUAGAAUGUGGAUUAUCCCUCUGCUUGGAAAUGUACUAGCAUUUUAGAAGUUGCGGAUUACCCUCCUCUAAACUGAUACUUCUUUUGUUACAAUAUUGGAGUCUUAUUCUUCUUGGAGAGAGUGGAUUAUCCUUUUUCUUGAAGUUCUUAAGGCAUUUUAGAGGUUGUGGAGUACCCUCCUCUAAAUCAAUAUUGUCUUCUUGUAGAGUCAUUUUUGUCCUUCUCUCAGAAUGGCCGGAGGCUAAGACAUUAAUAUGACGGAAAGUUCAGAGUUCAAGUUGGAUGCUAUCAUGAAUGUCCUCGCUACAUUAUCACAAAGAACUACAGAGAUUGAAGGAGUCGUGGCAAGGCUUCAUAAUAAUGGAGCAUCUGAGAUGGCACAAUCUAGGUUGUACCAGCCUCAAACUUCUCCACUUGGAGAAGCAACUUUGCCUUAAGUUCGACAAGCACCGCUGGUUCUACAACAUAAGGAGCCCCGAGUUAGCCUUCUGGAUAAGUUCGAUGGUACGCGUUCCAAGUUUCGAGGAUUCGUCAAUCAAAUCAGGUUGAUAACAAUUUUACAGCCCAAACGCUAUCCAACGGAGGAGGCACGUGUUGGGCUUGUUGGAACCUUACUUAUAGGGCAAGCUUUAUCAAGGUUUGCUCCUUUGUUUGAAAAAUGAUCGUCCAUACUAAACAACUUUGAAACCUUUUUGGAGGCGUUUGCAGAAGCAUUUGGUGAACACGACAAGAUUCGAUGGGCUACAAUAAAGAUCCAGUCACUAUGACAAGGGAUGCGCUCUACAUCAGUCUAUGUAUCGGAUUACAGGCAAUUAGCAUGCGACAUCAAUUGGGACGAAAAAGCGUUGAUGAGUCAAUUCUAUUGGGGUUUAAGGGACGAUGUGAAGGAUUUACUAUUAACUCUUUUUGAUCCGCAAAUGCUCAACGAAGCUAUUAGCCAAGCUAUGAAGUGCGAUAAUCACCUAUUCCAACCCCGCCAAGACCAACAUUCAAGACAACAUACCGUUUGCCAUGCCCCAACUAUGUCGGCAAGCAGCGUUGUCAUAUGGCAAGAUUUACUAUCUAGGAAUACACUGGGUAUCUAGCUCUAGAGAGUGUACCUUAAACCUUUAUAUGAUUCUUUCUUUGGCUUCCAAAACUCCUUUAUUUUUGUAUAAAACUCCAAAUAUAACAAAAUCCCUUCAAAACAUAUUUUUCCCGCGAAGGGGUUUUCUUGCCUUGAACUUUAGAAAAUAAUAACUAUUAAUCUAACAGUUCAUUUUUUUUCAAAUUUACAAGAUAGGUAGAAUCCACCCUUAAAUUUUACCACAAAAAAAACCAACCACAAAUUCAGUCCCGAUCUUCUAGCAUCUAAGAAACCCUAGCAGACACUCCAAAACCUAAUUUACAAGCACCCAAAAACUAUUUUCCUUAUAUCUCAAAAACCCGAACUUCAAAUGUCAUAAAACUUAUGCAUAAAGUUUACUUACAUAAAAUUACACAUUACUUGAAAUUUUAAGCCAAAACCUCACAAAAUUGCUCAAGAUAUAGCUCAAGAGACAAACACUAGUAAAUCGGUUUACUUACUACCCUUAGAUUGCAUGUGCUGACUUCAAAAUCCAAUAACUCCUUUAUCCCAACUUAGAAUCCAGUAAGCAAUAUGUGAAAAGUAUAGUCGCAAAAGUGCUCUCUCCAAUCGCGGUCGCCGAUCCUCAAUUGCUGUCCGUACGCGUGCGUUAUGCCCAAAAGAGUGACAGUAGAUCCAAAACUAACACCUUAACUUUGAGCGCCUAUAACUUCUUCAUAAAAACCCCAAAUGACAUAAAACUUGCACCAAAAAUUUAACCAAAAACCUAAAUCUUCUGACCCUAGCAUUCAAAGUUCGAAUAGGGUCGAGAAACUAACCCUAAUCCCUAAUAUGGCCUCGAGCAACCUCCUCAAAGUCCAUUGGUCAUGAUUUUUGUCCAAUAGGAAUGGAGAUUUUUAUUUUUCAUCUCCAUUCAUCUAUAUUGGUGCAUUAAUUCCUCCCUUGCUACCAAAAUCCUUCUUCAAUCCUUUUUCUUAUAAGAUUUACAUAUUGUAUGCUCUAAACACCAAAUAAAAGAACCAAAAUAAGUUUUUAAAUGUCACCAAUGUCUAACAAAGGUGACUCUAAAUAUUUAGAAGGUGCUAUCAACCAAAACCAAUCUUAAAAGCCACUAUCAAAAAGAAAUUAAAGUUAUACAAAUUCUAUAGUAAUCUUUUUAAACAACCUCUUUUGAAAGUAAUAAUCAAAUUAUAUUCUACAACCAACUAAAAUCUAUUAACAUGGCUCUCACCAUGUUACUUAAUAAAUUAUAUAUUAAGUACAUAAUUACAUUAUUUUCAUAUAGUAGCCGAACCACAACACGACAGCGUGAAUUCACAUUCAGAGGUAGAAGACAUGCAAAUUGAUGCGGUAUGUGUCAAAUCCCUUAUUCUAGAAGAAAAAAAGUGGUAUCGUGUUGUAACACGAGUAUACCGUGAAAAUAUAAAGAAAAGGGACUAUUAUUAAUGUUCAGUUACCUCGAAUAUUGGGAGCAACGACCAAUUCCAGUGCAAAUACUGAGAGGCUAGGGUCAAUCACCCCGUUACAAUCAGCCGAGGCAUACUGAAAUGCUCCGUUCUAUUCCAAUAACGGGAGUCAACAGAAAGGAAAAAGACCAAUUCAACGACGGGUGAAUCUGGUUCGAAGAGCCAAUGAGAUCCAAUUUCAAGACAUCCAAUCCAAGUCUUACUAUGGGCCUCUUAUCCAAUAUGAGACCUGAAUUGAUUGGGCAACCCAAUGUGGUCCAAUUACGAGAACAUCCAGGUCUUACUACGGGCCUCUUAGCCAAUAUGAGACCUGAAUUGGUCGGGCGACUCAAUGUGGUCCCGAUUAUGGAGGUUUCGAUUUCGUUUCAGGCUGUUCCAUCCUUUGUGCUGUUCUGGGAACAUCCUUUUGGUAAAAGGAUCUCUUAAAGGUAAAAAUGGAGGUAAAAGCUCUAACAACAGGAGCCAAUUUUGGAUCCAAGAUGGAAGAUUGAAGAAAUUCAGAGGCUAGAGUUUGAAAGAGGAGAGAUUUAGGAUUAAAGGGGAGGAUAGGUUAAAAAAUGGAGGGGAGAGAAUAAGGUUUUUAGAAGGAUCGGAGAGCUAGCUUCAUGCUUCGGGGGGGGAAAAAAAAGACAAAGAAUUGGGGUUUUUUUUUCUUCAUAGGGUUUUGGGAAGACUUAGGCAAUCAUUGCUGAAGUCAGUGUUGUACUGAUUAAUCGGGAUUUUAAUGAAGUGGGUGUGAUUACUCUUGACUGUUUUGUGAAAUCGAGUUAUGUCUAUGAUGAAGAAUUAAAAGAGUGUCUAUAGGAUUGAGUAUGUGGAGUGAAUGAAAUUAAUUGGGUUAAUCUAAUGAGACAGUCAUUGGAUACAAGAUUGUGAGUAUAAAGCGGUAUUGAAGAUUAGCAGUUUGGAUUAUUUGGGGUUCUCUGUAAUGUCUAGAGACCUACCUGUUGGGGCGAAAAGGAUUUUGGCGAGCAGUCAAAGGACAUCCGUAUAGAUUUACAGUAUAUUCUUGUAGUUGUUUAUAUUCUAACAAUCAAAAAAUGAUAAACUGCUUGAAUAUUAGCGAAACUCCAUACUACCUUCUACAGUCAGACGCCUGACACGUUCUCGAGCAAGAAAAUACGUAAUACGACAUAAGUGGUGAAUCCGACGUGAAAGCUUGAGGUAGAAGGUAUUGGAUUUCGUUUGAUUUUAUUUUUAUUUUUAUGGAGAACGAAAAUAAAAAUUUUGAAGGAUCUUUGAGAGGAGUUUCUGGUGGGGAUUCUUCUAAAGUACAAGGUAUGCACAUGAAUCCGUCUAUUGCUAGUAUAUUUCUAGCCUUCUCAUUAUCAAUGUAGCAACAGCAAAGCAAUGAUCGAAAGGAAGCUUUGGCAACCAAAGCAUUGCAAGCACUGGUCAAUAAAAUUGAUCAAUUUGAUGGAAGGAAUAUUUCAAGGUAUUUAAGAUAUUAUGUUCGUGAAAUGGAAUUAAAUCGGAUUUUUGAAAAAAAAAUGGUUGAAUUAUUUGGACUUGCCACGAUGCCGGAGAUAAGAGACCAUAUUGCAUCGAUUACGAAUCGUUAUGGAAAUUCAUGGGAGGUUUUUUCACAUGCAUUGAAAGACGAAUAUUUCUUGGAAGAUGCUAAUUGCAUUACUAAGAAGCUGUUUCUGGAAUGGAUUGAACGGCCCAAUAAGAAUUUGCAAGAAACAGAGCUACUAAGAGAAUUUGAGAGGCAGUACUCUCAAUUGUCGAAGGUAGAAAAAUUGACAUUGGAGCCGAACAAAGUUGAUCUAUUUCUUCAAGCUGCUGAUGGAGAAUUGCAAGGGAAAUUAGAACUCUUUCUUGAAGACAAAGAAGAAGAUGAAGGAUUGACAACAAAGUGGAAGAACGUUGAAGAUGCGGUGGGGUUGCUUACAAAAAGAGAAAAGAAGAAGGAUAGGAGCAUUAUUCCGAAAAUAAUACAAGCACUCAGAGCUCCAAUACGUACAACACCACCAACAAUGCCUACAGUUCAACCUUCGACAUCCUUAUCAAAGAAAGCACAUAUGGAGAUGGAAGAAAUUAUACGAGGAAUGUGAGAUCUUUAAAUCAAAUUGAGAAGACUUGAAGAGAAUACUUCUAUAAAUAAUUCGAAGAAUGUUUCAAAACAAAGAUAUGUACAAAGAUGCAUUUGGUGUGAUGAUGCUUCACACUAGAAAAGAUUACAAUGAAUUUAAUAAUAUGAUACGGCAAGGAAUUAUUUGUUGGAAAGAUAGGAAGCUAGUAUUAAAAGAUAGGGAGGAUCUUCUUCAAACCAAUUUUGGCAAGGGAGGAAUGAGAGCAUUGGUUCAAGAUUACUUAAAAGAGCAUGAAACAGUAGCACGAGAAAGUGGAAGUUAUGGUGCUAGAGUAGAUGAUGACCUUGGUGGAAGUACAAAAACUAGUGAGUUUUGGGCUUCUGCCACUUCUACAAUGCAAGAAGGGAAAUUACCUCGAGAAGCGUUAUUGAGGACUACAUCUACAAUAUGAGGUGCAACAGGUUGGGAGGAUCUUGUUGAGUCUCUUUGAGUUCAUGCAUAUAUUGCUAAGAGCCAACAUGAAGCUUUGAUGGAAGAGAAGAGACGAUGAAAUUUUGAUGAUACGAGAGAAGGAAAUUCUUCUAAGAGACAAACUCGAGGAGACAAGGCUCAGGAGGCAGCUUUACAAGAAUCUCUUGUAAAGGAUACCUCAGUAUCAUUCGAAGAAAAAACAAAGGAGACAAAAGAUAAGGGCAAAUCAAUUACUUAUAAGCUACUUUCUGACAUUGAAGCGGCAAUAAAUUUGAAAGGGGUGUUGGAAGAACGUAUAUUAAACGCUGAGGUGGAAUUCACAUUGAAAGAAGUCUUGGAAAUUGCAAAGAAGGAGUUUCUUGAUGUUAUCAUUGACAGCAUUAAGCGAAAGAGGCAAUUAAUGGGCGAAACUAGAAUGAGUCAUGCUAUUGAUGCAAGAAUAUAUAAAGAUGAAGAAGAGGUUGAUAUUGAUUAUAAGCAACCAACAAAUGAAAAAAAUGGGUAUAAUCAACGAUUACAUUUCAAAAAUUAUAGUGAUAAGGAAAUGGAAACUUUGAGCCAUUAUACUCGAAAGGAUUGGAUAAGGGUAACUACUAAGGUAUUGGUGAAAGUAGGAGAUAUAGAAGAACCAAUUGUUGCUUUAAUUGACCAUGGUUCUGAAAUAAAUCUUAUGUCUAAAGAUCUUUAUAAGAAGCAAAAAUGGCCAAUUGAUAUGGAAUUUUAAAUGGUUUGUUGAUUUGGUUAUUAUGCCAGUUGGAUUAUGGCAGAUGAGAUAUUUGAUUUUAGCUCGUGAAGAUUUAUCAAAUCAAGUAGAAAGAAGAGCAUUGAGGACAAAAUCUACAGAGGGGAUUUGUAGGUUUUUGCUUGAAGAUGUCAUUUGCCGCUACAGAUGCAUAGGAAAAAUCACUGCAGAUCGUAGAGAAUUAAAUGUACAAGAAGCUCGUAAGUUCUUAGAAAGAUGUGGAGUUAAACUAUCACUGACUACUGCUUAUAAUCCGGAAGGGAAUAUAAAAAGCAAACGUGGUCACCCACCGAUGUGAAAGCAUUAGUUAAAACUUGUAAUGGGAAAGUUAAAGAGUAGCCACAGCUUUUGUCAUUUGCAUUAUGGGAUGAUCGAACAACACAUAGUUCAGUGACAUGACAUAUACCAGUAGAACUUAUGACAGGUCGAAAAUCAAUUAUGGAGUAUGCUACCAUGGGAAGAUAGAUUGACAAGAGAAGAACUUGUGGCUAUUAGGAUUCGACAAUUGGAAUAAAGAUCAGAAGAUGUACAGAUAGCAUUAGAAAGGUUAAAAAGCGCAAGGUUACAAAACAAGGCACGAUUCGAUAAGCAACAUCGAUUGAGACCUAAAGCAAUCGAGGAAGGUGAAUAGGUACUUAUUUAUGAUAGUAGUUUUGAUAACCAAUAUAGCACUUUACAAAAGUUUUUAAAAUGUUGGUUUGGACCGUAUGUGGUAACAACUGUUCAUGAUAAUGCGACUUACUCAUUACGGGAGUUAGAUGGUACAAAAUUGAAAAUACCAAUUGCAGGGAAGCGAGUAAAAAUAUUUAAAUGAAGAUACGCAGAGAUGAAUAUGGAAGACCUUAAUGAAUGUAUAGAGAUUCUACAACAAGAAGAUGAAAGUGAUUUGGAUAAUGAAGGUGACAAAAACGAACUGGACAAAGACGUAGAGAAUAUAAUUUAAAUCAAACAGCAAUUGGGUAAAUUGGUGUAUACCGGAGGAUGCACAGGUUCAGAGGGAGUGGAUGUCGUAUUGUAACACGAGUAUACCGUGAAAAUAUAAAGAAAGAGGACUUUUAUUAAUGUUCAAUUAUCUCGAAUAUUGGGAGCAACAACCAAUUCCAGUACAAAUAUUGAGAGGCCAGGAUUAAUCACCCCGUUACAGUCAGCCGAGGCAUACUGAAAUGCUCCGUUCGAUUCCAAUAACGGGAGUCAGUAGAAAAGAAAAGGACCAAUUCAACGACGGAUGAACCUGGUUCGAAGAGCCAAUUAGAUCCAAUUUCAAGACAUCCAAUCCAGGUCUUACUACGGGCCUCUUAGCCAAUAUGAGACCUGAAUUGGUCGGGCGACUCAAUGUGGUCCUGAUUACGGGGGUUCCGAUUCCAUUUCAGGCUGUUUUGUCCUUUGUGCUGUUCCGAGAAUGUCCUUUCGAUAAAAAGAUCUCUUAAAGGUAAAAAUGGAGGAGAAAGCUCUGAUAGCGGGAAUCAAUUCCGGAUCCAAGAUGGAAGAUUGAAGAAAUUCAGAGGCUAGGAUUUGAAAGAGGAGAGAUUUAGGGUUAAAGGAGAAGAUAGGUUAAAAAAUGGAGGGGAGAGAAUAAGGUUUUUAGAAAGGUCGGUGAGCUAGCUUCAUGCUUUGGGGCGGGAAAAAAAGACAGAGAAUUGGGGUUUUUUUUUCUUCAUAGGGUUUUGGGAAGACUGAGGCAAUCGUUGCUGAAGUCAGUGUUGUACUGGUUAAUCGGGAUUUUAAUGAAGUGGGUGUGAUUACUCUUGACUAUUUUGUGAAAUCGAGUUACGUCUAUAAUGAAGAAUUAAAAGGAUGUCUAUAGGAUUGAGUAUGUGGAGUGAAUGAAAUUAAUUGGAUUAAUCUAAUGAGACAGUCAUUGGAUACAAGAUCGUGAGUAUAAAGCGGUAUUAAAGAUUAGCAGUUUGGGUUGUUCGGGGUUCUCUGUAACGUCUAGAGACCUACCUACUGGGGCAAAAAGGAUUUUGGCGAGCAGUCGAAGGACAUCCGUAUAGAUUUACAGUAUAUUCUUACAGUUGUUUAUAUUCUAACAGUCAAAAACCGAUAAACUGCUUGAAUAUUAGCGAAUCUCCAUACUACCUUCUACAACCAGACGCCCGACACGUUCUCGAGCAGGAAAGUACGUAAUAUGACAGCGGCGUAUGGAAGAAGGUCUAUGCUUGUAUUGUGGUGAAGAAGGCCACAAAGUUGGAAACUACUCCAAGAAGCAAAAUCGACAUAUUGUCAGGACUAGGGGUGCAUUUGUUUAGGAAAACGAGGAUGCCCAGCCACAAUAAGAAUCAUGCGGUUGGACAGUGAAAUAUCGCAACAACAACCAGGUUUCUUUUUUUCCGCUCAACCUGCCCUUUGUUUUAUAAUCUUUUUGCUUACUGGCCUUCAAAAACUGAGAACCUUAGCAUUAUUAGAUUCAGGAGCAUCUGCUUGUUUCUUAGACGAAGAAUUUGCGAAGCGUCAUAAGAUCCCUUUAAUACAAAAAUCCAAACCUGUUCACAUUGAGGUCAUAGAUGGGUGACCUUUAUUGUCUGGUAGUAUCACCCAUGAAUCAAAACCUAUAGAAGUGACGUUUUAGGGCCAUAGUAGUCAUAUUAUUUUCAAUAUUAUUAGAACCCCAUCAAAUCCUGUUAUUCUAGGUCUUUCUUGGUUAAAAAAGUAUGACCCAACCAUAGAUUGGAAGUUGCGGAAGAUGAACUUUUCCACAAAACCAUCCAAGAGUAAGCCUAGCAGAAAACCGUGAAUAGAGAAAUCCUUAUUCAUUAGAGCAAGAGUGUUUAUAAGAUCGUCUAAGAAAGGCACACCAUUUGUCAUUUAUGCGGCUCCAACUACCAAGGAAAAGAUGUCAACAGCAAGUAUACCUGAGCAAUAUAAGGAUUUUAAAGACGUGUUUCAAAAGAAGAAUGCCAACAUGCUACCAGAACACCGACCAUAUGAUUGUGCGAUAGACUUGUAGGAAGGAGCAUAAUCGCCUUUUGGCCCAAUCUACAAUCUAUCGCAGAUGGAGUUGGCGGAGUUGCAAAAGUACAUCGACGAGAAUCUAGCCAAGAACUUCAUUCAUCAUUCAAAAUUUUCAAUUGGAGCAUCCAUCUUAUUUGUGAAGAAGAAAGAUGGCUCGUUGCAGAUGUGCGUGGACUAUCGAGGCCUCAACAAGAUAACAAAGAAGAAUCGUUAUCCGUUACCCUUGAUUUUUGAUUUCUUAGAACAACUUAGAUGUGUAAGGAACUUUAUAAAAAUUGAUAUAAAGGGAGCUAACAACCUCGUACGAAUCAAGGAAGGAGAUGAGUAGAAGACUGCGUUCCAUACAAGGUAUGGCUUUUUUUUUGUAUAAUGUCAUGCCCUUUGGUCUUACCAAUGUUCAAGCAGUCUUUUAACAUAUGAUGAAUGAUAUUUUCCGAGAGCACCUUGACGAUUUUGUUGUCAUCUAUUUGGAUGAUAUUUUGAUAUUCUCCAAAAACGAGGAAGAGCAUGAAAAGUACGUUCAUUUGGUCUUAGAGAAACUACGCGAGCGAAGACUAUAUGCCAAGUUGGAGAAGUGUUUAUUUCACCAAAUAGAGAUGGAAUUUUUGAGGUUUGUUGAGACUACGGAAGGCUUGAAGAUGGAUUCCAAGAAGGUGGAAGCAAUCAUGUCCUGGAAGGUUCCAAAGACAGUUAGAGACGUACAAUGCUUUCUUGGUUUUGCCAACUUCUAUCGAAUCUUCAUCAAGAAUUACUCUCAAGUUGCUGCUCCUCUCACUUGGUUGACAUGCAGGGGUAAGCUGGAAUGGGGACCUCUAGCGGAGAAGGCGUUUCAAGACCUGAAGACCGCAUUUACAACAGCUCCAAUCUUGGUACAUCCAAACUUUAUAAAGGCCUUUUAUUUAGAAACCGAUGCUUUGGAUUUUGCCUUGGGAGCUGUACUUUCAUAAAUGGGAGAAGAUAAGAAGCUCCAUCUGGUUGCAUUCUAUUCUCGAAAGUUCUCUGCUGCUAAAAUCAAUUAUGAGAUCCACGAUAAGGAACUUCUUGCUACAGUGGAUUCUUUCCAAGAAUGGCAUCACUUUCUUGAAGGAGUUGCACACCUAGUGACCGUAUAUACAGAUCACAAGAAUUUGGAAUAUUUCAUGUCGGCUUGAGUUUUAAAUCGACGUCAAGCUCGGUAGAGUAUGUCGCUAUCUAGGUUUGAUUUUGUUAUCACUUAUCGACCUAGAAAGCAGCAAGGACUAUCUGAUGCCUUAUCGAGGAGAUUGUAUCUUGUACCAAAGGCUGAAGAAGUAGCGUUUGAUCAACAAUGUAUGACGUUGUUGAAGCCAAAGUAAUUUCGGCUUUGCACUACUAUUGUGCGAAUUGAUGCUGACUUCGUGAAUCAAGUACAUGCCAUGACCAUUAAAGAUUUAGUAGCCAUUAAUAUCAAGCAGCAUACCAAUGACGAUAAGUUCAAGGUCGAGGAAGAUCUUUUAUACUUUAAAGAGCGGUUGUAUAUCCCAAAAGGACCAGUAUGACUCCGAGUUCUUCAAUCUAGCCACGAUUUUUCAAAUGCAGGAUAUUUUGGAUUCAACAAGACCUUGGAGCUUAUUUCUCGAGAUUUUUGGUGGCCCCAAAUGUGGAAGGAUGUGAAAGAUUUUGUCUUCUCUUUUAAUAUCUGUUCAAGAUCCAAGAAUCCUCGACAUCGCCAUUAUGGACUCCUACAGCCAUUGCCGAUUCCACGUCGAUCAUGGUCUUCAGUUUCCAUGGACUUCAUCACGAACCUACUAUCAUCAAACUCAUUUGACAACAUCUUUGUCAUGGUAGAUCGGCUUACAAAGAUAGUGCACUUUGUCCCUUGCAAGAAGACAUCAUCUAAUGAAAUCACAGUAAGGCUCUUUCUGGAUAAUGUGUAUCGAUAUCAUGGAUUACCAGAUGAUAUCGUAUCAGAUCGAGGAAUCCAGUUUGUAUCAAAGUUUUGGAGAUCUCUCUUUGAGAUACUGAAGGUGGAUAUCAAGCUUUCUUUGGCUUUUUAUCCUCAAACUGACUGCCAAACGGAACGAGUGAACUAACUAUUGGAACAAUACUUACGAUGUAGCAUCAACUAUCAGCAAGAUAAUUGGACCACAUAUCUGUCACUAGUCAAGUUUGCAUAUAACAAUACCUUCCAUGCGUCGACUCAAUACACACCAUUCUUUUCCAACUAUGGGUAUCAUCCGAAGCUUGAUUUAUUGAGUCCAUCAACAAAUAACAAUCCAGCAACUAAAGGAUUUGUAAAAUAACUAUCAAAGCUUCAAAAUACAUUGAAGCUUCAAUUAUAAUCCGCUCAAGAAUCCUACAAGGUGUUUGCAGAUAGAUUUUGGAAUCAAGCAUCUACUUUUAAAAUUGGAGAUAAAGCAUGGCUUCUUCGACGGAAUAUCAAGACCAAGCGACCAUGUGAUAAGUUGGACUAUUAAAGAUUGGGACCAUUUAUCAUCCAGAAGUAAAUCAAUCUAGUGGCGUACCGUCUGGAAUUACCGGCUUCUAUGAAGGUAUAUCCAGUCUUUCAUGUUUCUCUGUUGGAGCCUUAUCAAGAGUCGUCUUUUCCUGGAAGAGUGCAAUGUCCGCCAUCUAGUAUUGAGAUUGAGAACCAUGAGGAAUAUGAGAUUGAAAAGAUGUUGGAUUCACGGUGAAGGUGGGACAAGUUGGAGUAUCUUGUUCAUUGGUGCGGCUAUGACAUUGAUGAGCGAACGUGGGAGCCAGCUGAAAAUCUCGCCAAUACGCCACAAAAGGUACAAGAGUUUCAUCAACAAUAUCCUCAUAAACCUAAGCCGGUUCAAUGAUAGCUUCUUUCUGAAGCUUGUUCACCCAAGAAUAUAAGAAAGGGGGAGAGCACCACCAAAAUUCGUAGUUGAUGUAGUUAUUUUCUCCAAAAUAAAGUAGAAUUUUUUCAGUAGCCAUAGUUUGGUCUUCUGAUAUGGAUAGCAAGGAGAUAGAUACUAUGCUAGUCAAAUUAUUUCAACCGACUAGCUCAUGAAGGCGACCUCGAGAUGAAGAACAGCCUACACCACGACGACAAUGGAGGAUAUCGAGUAACCGAUCACUGAUGAUUAUAUUUGAGUUCGAGCCUGCUUACGAUGGUCAGCCAAAAGACAUGUUUGUAGGACAAUUUCACAAUGAGGACACGAAAGUUCAUGCUUGGUGAGAAGUUGAAGGAGUGGGCCACUACCGUUGGCUUCAAGGACUGAUGAACCACUUGCCUCAUGAAUAAUAGUUGGAGUUCAUAGCAGACGUUAUGCGACAGAUCUUCAUUUUCUUGUACCGGUACUAAUUAACAACAACACUGCUUCUCAGAGACCUCGAAGCUAUAGGAAGGGGUGAUGUUAGGGACAUAGUCCUUAGAACCUUCUAAAGACAAGUUUCUAGAACCUUUUAGAGAUAAGUUUCUAGAACCUUCUAGAAGCAAGUCUCUGGAAUCUUUUAGAAGCUUCUUAGUUGAUAGAAGAUGUUAGGAAUAUAGUCCUUAGAACCUUCUAGAGACAAGUUUCUAGAACCUUCUAGAAGCAAGUCUCUGGAACCUUCUAAAAGCUUCCUAGUUGAUAGAAGUUGCUGGAGAAGCUUCUUAUAUAGGAGUAUAUAUUGGAAUCGAGGCUGAAGAGUUCUUCAAUCUCGACAACACAUCUCUUGCAGCUCUAGCUCACCUCUCUGGUGUUGUUCUUAUAUUCAUCUGAUUAAUCUAGUUCUUGCCAAUUCUUCUUGAACUUCUUCUUAGAUCUCGAGUCUGUAUUUCUUUGUCCGUGAUACUCAAUCGAUGCUACUUAUCAAAUUGUGCCUUGUUUUGUAACCUUGAUCUUUUUAACCUUUCUAAUGCUAUUUACAAAUCUUUCGAUCUUUGCUCUAAUUAUUGAAUUCUAAUAGCUAGAAGUUCUUCUCUUGUCAAUCCAUCUUUCCAUAGUAGUACACUCUAAUUAGGUACUUUUUCUUCAAUUUGCAUAAUUGGUUUUUGACCUAUCAUAAGCUCAAUAGGCAUAUAUCCCAUUAUUGAGCUAUAAGUUAUUCAAUAUGUCAUAAUGCAAAUGACAAAAGUCAUGGCCAUUCUCUCACCCUCCCAUUACAAGCUUUAAUUAAUGCUUUCACAAUCGGUGGAUGACCACGCUCACUUUUUAUAUUUCCUUCAGGAUUAUAAUCAGUGUCAAUGAUAGUUUAAUUCCACAUCUUUUAAAGAAUUCAUGAGCUUCUUGUGCAUUUAAUUAUCUAUGAUCUGCAAUAAUUUUUCCUACACAUCCAUAGUGGUAAAUAACAUCUUCAAGCAAAAAUCUACAAAUUCUUUCUGUAGUUUUUGUUCUCAAUGCUCUUCCUUCUACUUGAUUUGAUAAAUCUUCACGAGCUAAGAUCAAAUAUCUCAUUUGCCAUAAUCCGAUUGACAUAAUAACUAAAUCAACAAUCCAUUUAAAAUGAAUAGGUAGAGGAUAUGUAGGAUGAAGACCAUCUCAAUGUUGUAUAUUAGAAUACGCUUGACAAAUUUGACAUGAUUCUACAAUAAAAACACAUCUCGAUACAUAUUUUUCCACCAAUAUCAUUCCUUAAGCUUAGCAAAAAUAGCCCAAAUUCCUCUAUGUCCUAUCCAUAAACUAUCUUGAAACCCCUUUAAUAAUUUUUGUUUCUCUUUCUUAUUGCCUAUCACUCUUUGUGGCAUUCCAAUUCCUUUCUUUGGUCUCUUCUAUAAGAAUCUUUCUUGAAGCAAAAAUCCAUAUGUUUUUUUUUUAUUUAUUUAAAUUUUUUUGUAGAUCAAUUUUUUUAUUUAGUCAAGGUAUUCAAGUAAUGAUCAAUAUCUCAUAAUUCUCCUUCACAAAAUUCUUCAAGAAAUAGCUUAUCUUCUUUGUUAAGAUUUGAUACUGAAUAGAAUUUUGAUCCAACAUCAUCAAUUUCUUCAACCAUUUCGUCUUCUCUUUCAUAUCUUACUCAAGAUAGUAUGUCUGCUACUAAAUUAUCUUUUCUAGCAACAUGCUUAAAUUCUAGAUUUAAUGAUUUAAUAUAAGCAAUACAUCUUAACAUUACAAUAUCCGGCAUUGAACAAUUAAUAAUCUUUUCAAGGAAUGGCAAGCAAUCCAUUUCAAUUACUACUGCAACACCAAUCAAAUAAUCCCUUUCAACUUUCAUAACAGAAAUAACUCUCUAAAGUUUUCUUUUCACUUGCGAAUAUGUACGUUGACGAGUACUUAAAACUUUGGCUCCAAAUUGAACUGCAAAUCUAUUUCCACUUGAAUCAUUUUGACCCACAGCCCAUCCAAUAGCAAUAAGACUAGUAUCUAGAGUAAGAAUUACUUGUCUAUUACAGUCAUAAUCAAUUUUUCUUAAAAUAAGAGAUGUCACCAAUAAUACUUUUAGCUUUUUCAUUGCUUUAGUAUGCUUUAGCAAUGCAAAAGCUCCUAAAAGCAUACUAAGUCACAUGAAUCCCUCAUCCUUCAAAUUGCAUCAACUUUACUAGGAACUGACUUUUUUCCAUAAAAUCCACAUAAAUAUCCAACAAUAAGAACUUCUUACAUUCCAAAUAUAGAUUUUGCUCUUGAAAGUAUAAGAUGAACCUCUUCAAGUCGAGUUAAAAUCUUUUCACAAUCUUGUAUAUGAUCAACAAUAUAUUUGCCACACUCCUUCUCAUCUAAAGUUUCAUCUUUUUUUCCUUCUUUACAUCCUUUGAUAGGAACAUCAUCUAAAAAAGACAUAGUUUUUAUAGGAAUGAAGUCUCUUAGUAUCUUGUUCAUCCCAUUCAUCAUAUAUACAACUGAGUUAGUAGUACCUUGUGGGAGAGUAUACAUUUUAAGUAAUCCAAAUGGCGUUCUCAUUGUUGUUAGAUCUCUACUCCCAUGCGCAAGUUGAAAUUGAUCAUAACCCGAAUAUAAAUCAUCCAUUGAAUAAAUUGCCCUUCUUAUAAACGCUUCUGUAAACUCGUUUAUUAAAAGGUCCUAUAUCUAUAUUUCUUAUAGUUAUUGCAUUUAUUGGCUGUAUAUCUUGAAUAAAAUGUAACAAUCCAUUUUUCUUAGGCACCGUAAAUCGACGACUAGAAUAUGGAGCAAAAGAAGGCUCCAAAAUUUUUAUUCACAUCUUUUCUUUCAAUAAUUCUACCAAUUUAGGUAAAUGUGUUCUCAGCAUGGAAAUUGGCCUUAAUUUCCAAGGUACAUAAGGUAUUGUAAAGAUAACCAUAGGAGCAACAACAUUAGGAUCUACACAUGCUAUCUUAUGAGAUCCAAAAGCAAAUAAUUUACCUCGUUUCGUAAGCAUUUUUUUAAAAUAUUUAAUUUUUGUUGAAAAUAAAGAACCAUCACAUCCAAUCUUCAAUUCUUCAAAAGUCUCCUUUGUAAACUAAUGUCUAAUCUUCUUUGGAUCUCUUAAACUUUCUUCUUUUGAUGCUUCUUCUAUCCGUUCCUUAGAAUCUUUUGGUAAAGGUUCGGCAACACAUUUUAUCUUUUUAUCUAUUAUUUUAUAUUUUGUCUCUACAAUAACUUCUGGUGCUUGAAAAGAUUCAAGUAUAGAAUAAACCUCCCUCAAAUGAAUUUCCGCAAUCUUAUCAUUAUCUCUUAAUCCAAUAGAUGCAAUUAAUUCUAAAGAAUCCUCCAAUCUAUUUUCUUCAUAAACACCUAAAAUCUUCUCAUUAUCUUCUAAUGUCUUUAACUUGCGUAAUUUCCUUUCAAUACUAUAUAAUCUUUUUUUUUCUUUUCUUUUAAAAUCAUUAACUUUCUUAUACAUAAUAUUCCCAUUCUCAAAAAUACCAAUAAAACUCCCAUCAAAGGCACCUUCAUCUCGCAAGAGUACCUCCUCUUUUGUACCUCCAUAAUCCCACUUUAUAGUGGUACUUCUCCAAAAUCCUUAAAUCCUUCAAUAACCCUUGGCAAUGGUUUCUCCCUCAACCUAUCUCGAUUCCGUUCAUAAUUAGGAGGUACUAUCAGAAAUUGUACAGCUUUCCUUCUAUCUUCACUAUGUACCCUUGUAUAAGUAGAACCAUCGUUAAAUACUUUUGUUUCCAUCCGUGUUGCAGUAAUAUAAGGUUGUCCUAAAAUCAAUGGAUAAGACAUUGUAUGUUGAACAAAAAAAUGUUUUUCUAUCACAACAUCUCCAAUCUAAAUUUUGAUAUUUGGAUAAGUUUCUUAUAAUUCACCUCGUAUAUUAUUAGCUACUCAUAUUGCCCAUCCUUGUUCCAUAUCAAUUGGCCAUUUCUACUUCUUAUAAAGAUCCUUAGAUAUAAGAUUUAUUUCAAAACCAUGGUAAAUUAAAGUAACAAUUGGUUCUUUUAUAUCUCUUACUUUCAUCAAUACUUCAGUAGUUGUCGUUGCCCAAUGUUUCUGAAUAUAAUGGCUUGAAGCUUCCAUUUUCUUAUCACUAUAAUCUUUGAAAUGUAUUCAUUGAUUAUAUCCAUUCUUUUCAUUUGUUGAUUGCUUGUAACCAUUAUCAACCUCUUCUUCAUCUUUAUAUAAUCCUACAUCAAUAGCAUGAUUCAUUCUAGCUUCGUCCAUUAAUUGCUUCUUUUGCUUAAUACUGUCAAUGAUAACAUCAUGAAACUCCUUCUUUACAAUUUCCAAAAUUUCUUUCAAUGUGAAUUCCACCUUAGCAUUUGGUAUACGUUCUUCUAAUACUCCUUUUAAAUUUGUUGCUGCUUCAAUAUUAGAAAGUAGCUUAUAAGCAGAUGAUUUAUCUUUUUCUUUUGUCUUUUUUUUUUUUUUUUUUCUUCCAAUGAUGCCGAAGUAUCCUUUAUAGGCAAUUCUUGUGAAGUGGCCUCACCAGCCUUGUCUCCUCGAGUUUGCUUCUUAGAAGAAUUUCCUUCUCUUGUAUCAAUAAAAUUUUCUCAUCUCUUUUCUUCCAUCAAAGAUUGAUAUUUGCUCUUAGCAAUAUAUGCAUGAAUUGAAAGAGACUCAAUAGAAUCUUUCCAACUUGUUGUACCUUAUAUUGUAGCUGUAGUCCUCAAUAAUGCUUUUCGAGGCAUUUUUCUUUUUUGCAUUGUGGAAAUAGCAGAAGUCUAAAAUUCACUAGUUUCUAUACUUCCACCAAAGUCAUCAUCUAUUCUAGUGCCAUAACUUGCACUCUCUUAUAUUGCUAUUCUAUGUUCUAUUAAAUAAUCUUGAAUCAAUGCUCUUAUACUUCCUUUGCCAAAAUUGGUUUGAAUGAGAUCGUCUAUAUCUUUUAAUGCAAUCUUUUCAUCUUUUCAGUAAAUAACUCCUUGUUGUACCAUAUUAUUAAAUUCAUUGCAAUCCUUCAUAGUAUGGAAAACGUCAUCACACCAGAUACAUCUUUGUACAUACUCUUAUUUUGAAACAUUCUUCAAAUUGUUUGUAGAAGUAUUUUCUUCAAGUCUUCUCAAUUUGAUUUGAAGAUCUUACAUUCCACGUAUAAUUUUUUUAAUCCCCAUCUCUCCUUUCUUCAAUAAAGAUAUUGAAGGUUGAACAGUAGUCAUUGUUGGUCGUGUUGUAAAUAUUGGAAUUUUAGGUGCUUGUACUGCUUUUAGAAUAUUACUCCUAUUUUUUCUUCUUUCUCUUUUUGUAAGCAAAUCCACUGCAUUUUCAAUAUUUUUCCACUUUGUUGUCAAUCCUUCAUCUUCUUCUUUGUCUUCAAGAAGCAACUCUAAUUUUCCUUGUAACUCUCCAUCAACAGCUUGAAGAAAUAAUUCAACCUUGUUCGGCUUGAAUGUCAAUUUUUCUACCUUUGAUAAUUGAAAAUAUUGCCUCUCAAAUUCCCUUAGUAGCUCUGUUGCUUGUAAAUUCUUAUUAGACCAUUGAAUCCAUUCUAGAAAUAGUUUCUUAGUAACACGAUCAAUAUCUUCUAAGAAAUAUUCGUCUUUUAAUGCAUGUAAAGAAAUCUCCCAUGAAUUUCGAUAAUAGUCCAUAAUUGAUGUAAUAUGCUCUUUUAUUUCUGGUAUCAUGGCAAGUCCAAAUAAUUCAACCAUCUUCUUCUCAAAAAUCCGAUUUAAUUCCAUUUCUCUAAUAUAACAUCUUAAAUACCUUGAAAUAUUCCUUCCAUCAAAUUGAUCAAUUUUAUUGACCAUUGCUUGCAAUGCUUUGGUUGCUAAAGCUUCUUUGUAAUCAUUGCUUUGAUGUUGUUAGAUAGAUAAUAAUAAGGCUUGAAACAUACUAGUAAAGGACUUAUCCAUGUACAUACCUUAUCCUUUAGAAGAAGCUCUACUUAAAGCUCCUUCAAAAUUUUUAUUCUCGUUUUCCAUAAAAUAAAAAUGAAAAUAAAUUAAUUCCAAUAUCUCCUACCUCAAGUAUUUCACGUUGGGUUCACCACUUAUGUCAUAUUACGUUGUCAUAUUACAUACUAUCUUACUUGAGAACGCACCGGGUGUCUGGCUGUAGGAGGUAGUAUGGUGUUUCGCUAGUACUCAAGCAAUCUAUCAGGUUCUUGACUAUCCAAAUAUAAUCUAUAUGAGAUUGCAAUAUAAAAGCUUAAUUCCAAUAUAAAACGCCUAGAGACCUUAUAUAACUUCAAUCUCUUUUGUUAUUUUUAUUUUAUUUUAUUUAUUUUAUGUUUUUUAUUUUAUCUUUAUCGUUAAUUAUCUUAAUCCUAGUCCGUGAACUUCGGCAAGCUGUGAUCCUCAAUCUGUCCUUCCGACUUGUUGUGAAACAUCUAUCGCUAGUAUUUCAACAAGCCCUUUCGAAUACUCAAGAAGUUUUAGUUCAAUCUCGCUUACAGAUUGUGAGGCUAUGCUGCAAUCCGCACCGAUGUCCCUUGGCCGCUUGUCGAUAUUCCUCUUAUCCCUGUCGGUAGGUCCCCAGUUAUCAUAGAAAUCCUAAACAACCCCCAAUUUGUCAACUCCCAAUACCUCUUUAAACUGUUGGCAGAUAACCUCUAUCCAUAUAGUCAGAUUAAUACAACCACGUAUGCAUUCAGCAUACUCAACCUUCUAAACAACUCUGAAUUUCAACCACAGAAGUAUCUCCCAUUUCAUCAGCAAUCAAGAGUACCAGCCUUUCCUCUCUUACGAAAAAAAUCUAGUUCACCAAUAUAACACUCACUUUCAGCAACAAUUGCCUUGGUCUUCCCAAAAUCCUAUGAAAAAAAAAAAAAAUCCCAAUUCUUUGUCUUUUUCUCGAAGUAUGAAGCUAGGUCUCCGACCUAAAACCCUGAUUCUCCAAAUUUUCAUUUCUUAACCUAUCUUCCUCUUUUACCUUGAAAAGAUCCUAUUCUUCCACCUUGAACUCCCCAAAUUGGAACCGCCGACCUCCUGCUUUUUUUCCCCGAUUUUUACCUUUUAGAGAUCUUUUUUACAGAAAGGACGUUUCCGGAACAGUACAAAGAACGGAACAACCUAAAACGAAAAUCGAAGCCUGUAAUCGGACCACAUUGGGUUGCCCGACUAAGUCAGGUCUCAUAUUGGAUAAGAGGCCCGUAAUAGGAUCUGAAUUAGAGGUCUUCUGAAAUUGGAUCUAAUUAGCUCUUCGAACCAGGCUCACUCAUCAUUGAAUUGGUCCUUCCUCUUUCUGCUGACUUUCGUUAUUGGAAUCGAAUGGAGCAUUUUGUUACUGAUGAGUAUGCCCCGGCUGACUGUAACAGUAUCGUGUUGUAACACGAGUAUACCGUGAAAAUAUAAAGAAAGAGGACUUUUAUUAAUAUUCAGUUACCUCGAAUAUUGGGAGCAAUGACCGAUUCCAGUGCCAAUAUUCAGGGGCCAGUUCAAACAUCCCGUCACAGUCGGUCAGGGCAUACUUACCAGUAACGAAAUGCUCCGUUCGAGUCAAUUAGUGGGAGUCAACAGAAUUGAAAGGACUAAAUCGAUGACUGAGCGGGCCUGAUGCAAAGGACCAAUUUGACUCAAUUAUGGGAACAUCCAUGUCUUACUACGAGCCUCUUAGCCAAUAUGAGACCUGAAUUGGUCGGGCAACUCAAUGUGGUCCCGAUUAUGGGAGUUUCGAUUCCGUUUCAGGCUGUCCUGUUCUCUGUGCUAUUUGAGGAAACAUUGUUUCUGGAAAAAAGAACCUUUAAAAAGAAAAAAAAUGGAAGAAAAAGCUCUGACGGUGGAGCCAAUUCUAGAUCCAAGACGGGAGAUUGAAGAAAUUCAGAGGCUAGGAUUUGAAAGAGGGAAGAAUUAGGAUUAAAGAUGAUGAUAGGUUAAGAAAUGAGGAGGGGGGGAGAAUUAGGGUUAAAGGGGAGGAUAGGUUAAGAAAUAAGGAUCUUCAUCUCCAUUGGUCGAAAUCCAUGGCCAAUGGGCUUUUAGGAGGCUGCCUGCGACCUUGAUAAGGAUUUCGGCGACUUCAAAGAGGCCAUUUAGGAAAUCAAAGGCAAGGGUUGUAAAGUUUAGGAUUUUGGCUACAGGUUUUGUGCAAAUUUUAUAGGGUUUGGAGUUAGGGUGAAUAAGUUAUAGCCGUUUGAAGUUAAGGUGUCAAUUUGAGACCUAUUGUUACUCUUUUGAGUUUAAGAGGAGUCUUACGGAAGCUUUUGGAGAUCGAAAGGUGCGGCUGAAAGGGCAACUUCAAGACAUACAUCUUUUGUGAAGAAAAUUUUGCAUUUGGAAUUUAUAAGAAGGAGUUAUAGUGAGUUAAAGACAACGCAUUCAAAUCAAAGGCAGUAAGUGAGUGGUUUUAUUCAAAGCAGUGUUAGGAGCCAUAACUUGAGUUUUUGAACGAAAUUUUGGCUCAAACUUUGAAAUAAUGUAAAAAUUUGUGUUAAGAAGCUAUCUAUAUAAGUUUCGUGGCAUUUGGACUUAUGGUUUGUGAGAUUAGGGUUUAAAGCGACUGUUAGGGUUUUAAAGAUAUUUCAAGAUCCGUGACGAAUUUGCGGUUAACGUUUGUUGUAAAAAUUAAUAACAAUAUAUCAGUACUUUAUGUAAAUUUUGAACUUGUUUGGACGGUUGGAUCAAGAGUUAUGAGAUGUUGAGGUUCGGGAGAAUUUCCACACAAGGAUAUACAAGGUUUUAGAAUACUUCUACUAUAUUUUGGGUGGUGUUGGUUAUUUAAGACUUAAGUAUUUAGUGUAAAUGUCCCAAAAAGAGAACUUCUAUAUGUAAAAUUAGGGUUUCCUUAUUUUAAGCUUGAUUGAGCAAUUAAUAACAACCAAAAGUCCAAUGUUUUUUUGAGGCAAAACCUCUCUGCCCUGACAAUGGGGUGACUGAACGUGGCCUCUCAAUAUUUGCACUGGAGUUGGCCGUCGCUUCUAACAUCCAAAGUGACUAAAUAUUAAUAAAUCUUCUUCAUUUAUAUUUUCAUCAUAUAGACGUGUUACAACAUGACAUCCACCUCCUCUGAACCUGUGCAUCCUCUUGUAUGCACCAAUUAACCUAGUUGCCAUUUGAUUCAUAAUAUGUUCUCUAAAUCUUCGUCUAGUCCAUCUCCACCGUCUCUGCUAUCCAAAUCAAUUUUAUCUUCCCACUGUGGAAUAUCUAUGUCUUUAUAAAGGUCUUUUAUAUUUAUUUCUGCAUAUCUUUGUUUAAACAAUUUCACUCUCUUCCCUGCAAUUGGUAUUUUUAACCUUGUGCCAUCUAACUCCCGCAAUGAAUAAGUCGCAUUAUCAUGAACAGUUGUUACCACAUACGGUCCAAACCAACGUUUUAAAAACUUUUAUAAAGUGAUAUAUUGGUUGUCCAAACUACUAUCAUAAAUAAGUACCCAAUCACCUUCUUCAAUUGCUUUAAGUAUCAAUCGAUGUUGCUUAUUGAAUCGUGCCUUGUUUUGUAACCUUGCUCUUUUUAACCUUUCCAAUGCUAUCUGCACAUCUUCUGAUCUUUGCUCCAAUUGUUGAAUCCUAAUAGCCACAAGUUCUUCUCUUGUCAAUCCAUCUUCCCAUGGUAGCAUACUCCAAGUAAGUACCCUUUUUUCAAUUGGCAUAAUUGGUUUUUGACUUGUCAUAAGUUCUACUGGCAUAUGUCCUGUCACCGAACUAUAUUUUGUUCGAUUAGCCCAUAAUGCAAAUGACAAAAGCCGUGGCCACUUUCUAACUUUUCCAUUACAAGCUUUAACUAAUGCUUUCACAAUCAUUGGAUGACCAUGUUUGCUUUUUUCAUUCCCUUCCGGAUUAUAAGCAGUAAUCACUGAUAAUUUAACUCCACAUCUUUCAACGAACUUACGAGCUUUUUGUGCAGUUAAUUCUCCAUGAUCUCCAGUGAUUUUUCCUACGCAUCUGUAGUAGCAAAUGACAUCUUCAAGCAAAAACCUACAAAUCUCCUUUGUAGAUUUUGUCCUCAAUACUCUUCCUUCUACUUGAUUUGAUAAAUCUUCAUGAACUAAGACCAAAUAUCUCAUCUGCCAUAACUUAACUCGCAUAAAAACCAAAUCAACAAUCCAUUUAAAAUGAAUAGCCAAAGGAUAUGUAGGAUGAAGACCAUCUCAAUGUCGGAUAUUAGAAUACGAUUGACAGAUUUCACAUGACUCUACAAAUGAGAGCACAUCUCGAUACAUAUUUUUUCACCAAUAUCGUUCCUUGAAUUUAGCAAAAGUAGCCGAGAUUCUUCUAUGCCCUGCCCGUAAACUAUCAUGAAACUCCUGUAAUAAUUUUAGUUUUUCUUCUUUUUUGCUUAUCACUCGUUGUGGCAUCCCAAUUCUUUUCUUCAGUCUCUUCCAUAAGAAUCCAUCUCAAAGUAAAAAUCCAUAUGCUUUUUAUCUUAUUUGUUUGAAUUUUUUUGUAGACCAAUUCCCCUGCUUAGUCAAGGUAUUCAAGUAAUGACCAAUAUCCAAUAAUUCUCCUUCAUAAGAUCCUUCAAGAAAUAGCUUGUCUUCUUUGUUGAGAUUUGAUAUUGAAUAGAAUUUCAAUCCGACAUCAUCAAUGUCUUCAACCAUUUCGUCUUCCCUCUCGUAUCUUACUCAACAUAGCAUGUCUCCUACUAAAUUGUCCUUCCCAAUAAUAUGCUUAAAUUUCGGAUUUAGUGACUUAAUGUAAGUAAUUCAUCUUAAUAUUAUAAUAUCUGACAUUGAACAAUUAGUAAUCAUUCCAAGCAAUGGCAAGCAAUCUGUUUCAAUUACUACUACUGCCCCAAUCAAAUAGUCCUUUUCAGCUUUCAUAGCCGAAAUAACUCCUUAAAGUUCUCUUUUGACUUGCGAAUAUGCACGCUGACGAAUACUUAAAACUUUAGCUCCAAAUCGAACUACAAAUCUAUUCCCACUUAAAUCAUCUUGAUCCACAGCCCAUCCAAUGGCAAUUGGACUAGUGUCCACAGUAAGAAUCACUGGUCUAUUGCACUUAUAAUUAACCUUCCUCAAUAUUGGAAGUGACAUCAAUAAUUUCUUCAAUCUUUACAUUGUCUGAAUAUACCUUUCUUCCCAUUUAAAUCGGUAGCCCUAGCAUAACAGUUCAUAUAAUGGAUCCACUAUGUGAGCAUAAUGAGGGAUCUAGAUUCAAUAAAAUACACAUGCACCUAAAAACCUGCGAACCUCUGUUAAAGAAUCACAAUCCUCUUUCAUCCUUCCAAUUGUAUCAACUUUAGCUGGAUCUGGUUUUCUUCCGUAAGAUCCACAUAAAUGUCCAACAAUCACAACCUCUUGUACCCCAAAUACGGACUUCAUACUCGAUAAUGUAAGAUGAACUUCUCCAAGCCGAGUUAAAAUCUUUUUACAAUCUUGUAUAUGAUCAACAACAUAUUUGCGACAUCCCCUCUUAUCUAAAGUUUUAUCCUUGUCUCCUUCUCUGCAUCCUUUUAUAGAAACAUCAUCCAAAAAAGUCAUAGUCUUCUCCGCAAUAAAAUCUCUCAAUACCUUAUUCAUCCCAUUCAUCAUAUGCGCAACUGAGUUGAUCGUGCUUUGAAGAAGAGCGCAUAUUCUAACCAAUCUAAGUAGUGUCCUCAUCGUUGUUAUAUUUCUACUUCCUUCAGCAAGUUGAAAUUGAUCAUAACCUAAAUACAAGUCACCCAUUGAAUAGAUCGCCCUUCCUGCAAACGCCUCAAUAAAUUCAUCCACAAUAGGUCCAAUUCUUGCAUUCUUUACAGUUACUACAUUCACCAGUUGCAUAUCUUGAAUAAAACGUAGAGACCCAUUCUUCUUAGGUAUCAUAAACCAUCGACUAAAAUAUGACACAAAUGAGGGUUUCAAUAUUUUCAUCUUCAUCUUUUCUUUUAAUAGUUCCAUCAAUUUAGGUAAAUGUGCCCUCGGUACUGAAAUCAGUCUUAGAUUCUAAGGUACAUACGAUACAAUGAAGAUAACCAUAGGUGUUAUAAUAUUCGGAUCCACACACCUAAUUUCAUAAGAUUCAAAGGCAAACGAUCUACCUUGUUUAGCCAACAUCUUUUUGAAGCAAGUAAUUUCCUCCAGCAAUAAAGAACCAUCAGAAUCAAUCUUCAAUUCUUCAAAAGUCUCUUUAGUAAACUAAUGUCCAAUAGCCAUUGAAUCUCUUAAACUUGCUUCUUUUGAUGCUUCUCCCAUUUGUUCCUUAAAAUCUUUUGGUAAUGGUCCGGCAAUAAGCUUUACCUUCUUAUCUGUCGUUUUAUAUCUCGUCUCUACAGUGACUUCUGGUGCUUGAAAAGAUUCAAGUAUGGUAUAAAUCUCUCUCGAAUGAAUCUCAACAAUCUUAUCAUUAUUCUCUAAUCCAAUAGAUGUAAUCAAUUCCAAUGAAUCUUCCAGUCCAUUUUCUUCAUAAACACCUAAAAUCCUCUCAUCAUCUUGCAAUGUACCUAACUUGCGUAAUUCUCCUUCAAUAUUAUAUAAUCUUUUUUUUUCUUUUCUUUUAAAAUCAUCAACUUUUUUAUACAUAAUAUUUCCAUUCUCUAAAAUACCAAUAAAACUCGCAUCAAAGACACCUUCAUCUCGCGAGAGUACCUCCUCUUUUGUACCUCCAUAAUCUCCCUUUAUAGUGGUACCUCCCCAAAAUCCUUAAAUCCUUCAAAAAUCUUUAGCAAUGGUUUCUCCCUCAACCUAUCUCGAUUCCGUUCAGGGUUAAGAGGUACUAUUAAAUCUUGAACAAAGAAAUGUUGCUCCGUCGCAACAUCUCCAAUCCGAAUUUUGACAUUUGGACAAGCUCCAUAUAAUUCGCCCCAUGUGUUAUUAGCUGCUCGAAUUAUCCAUCCAUGUUUCAUAUCAAUUGGCCAUUUUUGCUUCUUAUAAAGAUCUUUAGACAUAAGAUUUAUUUCAGAACCAUGGUCGAUUAAAGCAACAAUUGGUUCUUCUAUAUCUUCUACUUUCACCAAUACCUCAAUAGUUGCCCUUACCCAAUGCUUUCGAGUAUAAUGGCUCAAAGUUUCCAUUUCCUUAUCACUAUAAUCUUCGAAACGUACUCGUUGAUUAAACCCAUUCUUUUCAUUUGUUGGUUGCUUAUAACCAAUAUCAACCUCUUCUUCAUCUUUAUAUAUUCUUGCAUCAAUAGUAUGACUCAUUCUAGUUUCACCCAUUAAUUGCCUCUUUUGCUUAAUGCUGUCAAUGAUAACAUCAUGAAACUCCUUCUUUGCAAUUCCUAAAACUUCUUUCAAUGUGAAUUCCACCUUAGCAUUUAAUAUACAUUCUUCCAACACCCCUUUCAAAUUUGUUGUCACUUCAAUGUCAGAAAGUAGCUUAUAAGCAAUUGAUUUGCCCUUAUCUUUUGUCUCCAUUGUUUUCUCUUCCAAUGAUGUUGAGGUAUCCUUUAUAGGCAAUUCUUGUGAAGCUGCCUCCCGAACCUUGUCUCUUCGAGUUUGCCUCUUAGAAGAAUUUCCUUCUCUCAUAUCAUCAAAAUUUUCUCAUCUCUUUUCUUCCAUCAAAGCUUCAUGUUGGCUCUUAGCAAUAUAUGCAUGAACUGAAAGAGACUCAACAGGAUCCGCCCAACCUGUUGCACCUCAUAUUGUAGCUACAGUCCUCAAUAACACUUCUCAAGGUAAUUUUCCUUCUUGCAUUGUAGAAAUGGCAGAAGCCCAAAACUCACUAGUUUUCAUACUUCCACCAAGGUCAUCAUCUACUCUAGCACCAUAAUUUGCACUUUCUUGUGCUGCUGUUUCAUGCUCUUUUAAAUAAUCUUGAAUCAAUGCUCUCAUUCCUCCCUUGCCAAAAUUGGUUUGAAGAAGAUCCUCCCUAUCUUUUAAUGCUAUCUUCCCAUCUUUUCAAUAAAUAAUUCCUUGCCAUAUCAUAUUAUUAAAUUCAUUGCAAUCUUUUCUAGUGUAUGAAGCAUCAUCACACCAAAUACAUCUUUGUACAUAUCCUUGUUUUGAAACAUUCUUCAAAUUAUUUGUAGAAGUAUUUUCUUCAAGUCUUGCCAAUUUGAUUUGAAGAUCUCACAUUCCUCGUAUAAUUUCUUCCAUCCCCAUAUCUGCUUUCUUUGAUAAGGAUGUCGAAGGUUGAACUGUAGGCAUUGUUGGUGGUGUUAUACGUACUGGAGCUCUGAGUCCUUGUACUAUUUUCAGAAUAAUGCUCCUAUCCUUCUUCCUUUUUCUUUUUGUAAGCAACCCCACCGCAUCUUCAACGUUCUUCCACUUUGUUGUCAAUCCUUCAUCUUCUUCUUUGUCUUCAAGAAAGAGUUCUAAUUUCUCUUGCAAUACUCCAUCAGCAGCUUGAAGAAAUAGAUCAACUUUUUUCGGCUCCAAUGUCAAUUUUUCUACCUUCGAUAAUUGAGAGUACUGCCUCUCAAAUUCCCUUAGUAGCUCUGUUGCUUGUAAAUUCUUAUUAGGCCGUUCAAUCCAUUCUAGAAACAGCUUCUUAGUAAUGCCAUCAACAUCUUCGAAGAAAUAUUUGUCUUUUAAUGCAUGUGAAAAAACCUCCCAUGAAUUUCCAUAACGAUUCGUAAUCGAUAUAAUAUGGUCUCUUAUCUCCGGUAUCAUGGCAAGUCCAAAUAAUUUAACCAUUUUCUUCUCAAAAAUCCGAUUUAAUUCUAUUUCACGAACAUAAUAUCUUAAAUACCUUGAAAUAUUCCUUCCAUUAAAUUGAUCAAUUUUAUUGACCACUGCUUGCAAUGCUUUGGUUGCAAAAGCUUCUUUUCGAUCAUUGCUUUACUAUUGCUGCAUUAAUAAUGAGAAGGCUUGAAACAUACUAGCAAUAGAUGGAUCCAUGUGCAUACCUUCUCCUUUAAAAGAACCCCCACCAGAAACUCCUCCCAAAGAUUCUUCAAAUUUUUUAUUUUCGUUCUCUAUAAAAUAAAAAAUGAAAAUAAGUGAAUUCCAAUACCUCACAUCUCAAGUAUUUCACAUCGGAUUCACCACUUAUGUCAUAUUACUUUGUCGUAUUAAAUGCUAUCUUGCUUGAGAACUCGUCGGGCGUCUGGCUAUACGAGGUAGUAUGGUAUUUCGCUAGUACUCAAAUAGUCUAUCGAGUUCUUGACUAUUCAAAUUCAAUCUAUAUUAGAUUGUAAUGUAAAAGCUUAAUUCCAAUAUAAAAUGUCUUUAUGACCUUAUAUAACUUCAAUCUCUUUUAUUAUUUUUAUUUUUUUUUAUUUAUUUUUUAUUUUUUAUUUUAUCUUUAUCGUUAAUUACCUUAAUCCUAGACCGUGAACUUUGACAAGCUGUGAUCCUCAAUUUGUCCUUCUGACUUGUUCUAAAAUAUCUAUUGCUAGUGUCUCAGCAAGCCCUUUCGAAUGCUCAAGAAGUUCUAGUUCAACCCCGCUUACAGAUUUUGAGGCUAUUCUUGAAUCCGCAGCGAUGUCCCUUGGCUGCUCGUCGAUAUUCCUCUUAUCCCUGUCGGUAGGUCCUCAGUUAUCAUAGAAACCCUAAACAACCCCCAAUUUAUCAACUUCCAAUACCUUUUUAAACUGUUGGCAGAUAUCUUUUAUCCGUAUAGUCAUAUUAACACAACCACGCAUGCAUUCAGUAUACUCAACCUUCUAGACAAUUCUGAAUUCCAACCAUAGAAGUAUCUUCUAUUUCAUCAAUAAUCAAGAGUACCAGCCUUUCCUCUCUUACGAAAAAAAUCCAGUUUACCAAUAUAAUAUUGACUUUCAGCAACGAUUGCCUCAGUCUUUCCAAAACCCUAUGAAAAAAAAAAAAAAUCCCAAUUCUCUGUCUUUUUCUCAAAGCAUGAAGCUAGCUCUCCGACCUAAAACCCCGAUUCUCCAAAUUUUCAUUUCUUAACCUAUCCUCCCCUUUUAUCCUGAGAAGAUUCUAUUCUUCCGCCUUAGACUCCCCAAAUUGGAACUGCCGACCUCCUGCUUUUCUUCCCCCAUUUUUACCUUUUAGAGAUCUUUUUUAUAGAAAGGACAUUUCCAAAAUGAUACAAAGAACGGAACAACCUGAAACAAAAUCAAAGCUCGUAAUCGGACCACAUUGGGUUGCCCGACCAAGUCAGGUCUUAUAUUGGGUAAGAGGCCCGUAAUAGGACCUGGAUUAGAGGUCUUCUGAAAUUGGAUCUAAUUGGCUCUUCGAACCAGGCUCAUCCAUCGUUGAAUUAGUCCUUUCUCUUUCUGCUGACUCCCGUUAUUGGAAUCAAACGGAGCAUUUCGUUACUGGUGAGUAUGCCCCAACUGACUGUAAUGGGAUGACUGAACCUGGCCUCUCAAUAUUUACACUGGAAUUGGCCGCUGCUUCUAACAUCCAAGGUGACUAAAUAUUAAUAAAUCUUCUUCAUUUAUAUUUUCAUCAUAUAGACAUGUUACAACACGACAACGUACUAACUAGCUUAAGAACGCAUUGGGCAUCUUGCUUUGGAAGAUAAAAUGAUGUUUUACAAGUAUCCAAGUAGUCUAGUGGAUUUCAACUAUCUAAACACGAACUAUUUUGAAUUUCAAUAUAAAAAUUUAAUUCCAAUACAAAGUACUUAGAACACUAUUAUUAAUAGCUUUUGGAUAUUACAAGCACAGAUCCUUUUGCUAUUUGUUAUUUUUAUUUCUAUUUCAUUAAUUUUUUAUUUAUUUAUUUUUAUUUAUUUUUAUUUUUAUUUAUUAUUUAUUUUUAAGUCCUAAUCUUUAGGAGAAAGUUAAGAGUAAAUUUUAGUAAAAAUUACAUAAAAAAACUAGAUGUUGAUAUCCGGAGAGGGUCGGUUAUGAACUAGGAUCGAAAUCAAACCUUGAGGCACAAAACUGAGUCUUGACAACGACUCUAAGAAUCUUUGGCAGAUUGAAGAAAGGGAUUUCAUCGAAGAUUGGAUAUGAUUUCAUUGGGCGUUGAUUUUGGAUGAUUUGGAGUUAUUAUGACUUUGUAAGAGCUUUGCAAAGUCAAGGUUUGUUUUGGAUGACUUGGAUUUUAUGAAAUAAAAUAGGGUUUAUAUUUUGAGUGAUUUCAAGAGUUUUGUAUUAGAUUUAUGGGUGAAAAUUUGUGGGUUUAUGGUUAUAGUUGUGUUCAAUAUGUAUUAUAAAUUUGAGCUCGAUCUAGCAGUUGAAUAGAGGAAUAUUGAGGUUUAAGUGGAUCAAGGUCUCAGAAAGUAGAAUUUUAGGUCUAGUGGGGAUUUUAAAGAUUUCUUGCAAUCUACUAGUUGGAUUGGAGUGAAACUUAUGUAAGAGGAUAUAAGACUUAUUUUUAUAUGUGCAUGAGAAUUUUGAGAUCAAUCAAACAAUGCAAAGGAGAGAUAUUGGCUCUGGAAGAUUAACAUCAAGAUUGGAGAAGGAGGCCGGCCAAUACCUGAGCACAUUUUUGAGGUUAUCAUCAAUUUGGUAACUCCGAUCAUUUUCAAUUUUUUUGUGCUUGUUUUUAACUUAUUAUUUUAGAAUUGUAAAAAAUUUGAGUUAAAAUCAAUGGUUUAUUCAUUAGUUAUUGAGGUUUAAAUCUAUUAUAGGAAUUACCAGGAUUUGGUAUAGGAUUUGGUUAGGAUUUGGUUUAGGAUUUGGUUUAGGAUUUGAUUUAGGGUUUAGGAUUUGAUUUAGGGUUUAAAAUUUGAUUUAGGAUUUGGUUGGAAUUUAUUUAGGGUUUAGGAUUUGGUUAGGGUUUGAUUUAGGGUUUAGAGUUUGGAUUGGAAUUUGAUUAGGGUUUGAUUUAGGAUUUAGGAUUUGAUUUAGGAUUUAGGAUUUAGUUAGGAUUUGAUUUAGGAUUUAGAAUUUGAUUUAGGAUUUAGGAUUUAAUUAGGAUUUGAUUUAGGGUUUAGGGUUUGAUUAAGGUUUGAUUUAGAGUUUAAGAUUUGGUUAGGAUUUGAUUUAGAGUUUAGGAUUUGAAUUAGGAUUUGCUUAGGAUUUGGUUUAGGAUUUGGUUGGAAUUUGGUUUAAGGUUUGUUUAGGAUUUGAUUCACGAUUUAGGAUUUUAUUAGGAUUUAAGAUUCAAUUAGUUUUGGCCUAAAGUUUGAAUGAAAUUCAAUAGGAUUUUAACUAGAAUUAAAUUAAGAUUGAAUUUAGAUGUAUUUAAGUGAUAUUUGUGAUCUUUCUAAUAUUUCUUUAAGAAUUCUUAUUGUUUGUUUGAAAUUUCUUUGAGGUUUCUUUGAAUUUGAUUAAGCUUUCUUACUAUUAUUAU